UCAACUAAGUGUAUUCGAUCAUACGCUAUUCUAUUCAAGGUCUACCUAAAUCUCCUUUGUUAAGGUUUAACUUAGAUUUCCAAUUCAAUUUAAUUGGUGGCCAGUUAACUAAAAGCAUUAAGAAUAAAAUAAAAUAAACAACUUAAAUCAAUCAAACAUAAUCAAAAGAAAGAUAAAUAAUUCAAACUACUUAUUGAGUUCAAUCAUAAUCUUAGAUUAACAAUUUAGUUCCCUAUCAAGUCACACAUCAUCAUUGAAUAAAGUUUAAACAUUAAAAACAAAACCAAGAAAAUAAGAGAAUAAAAGAAAAGAUAGAAAAGCUCAAGAGUUGUAUUCUUGAUCUCUAAAUCUCCUUGAAUCCUUUAAAUUCUUCUUAGCUUCAAUGACUCUGUGGCUUGACUCUCAGUUGUUAAUCUGGUGUUUUUCUCUUCUUCUCUAAAAUAUUGUUUUUAUAGGCUUUGAUGUUAGGCCAAGUUGGGUGGAGAAAGAAGUCAAUUUCAGCUAGGAUUUCCUCAUCAGACUAUGUGAGUCACAGCCUUGCCUAAUUAAUUAACCGAAAUCAUAAUUGCUCUAGGACUGCUAUAGUGCAUUAACUUUGACAAGAGUUUUGACUACCUUUCAACCCGAACUGGGUGAAGUAGUAACAUGAAAAUUGCAGCUUUUUCUCUUAUCUUUCCAAUGGUUUAAAAAUUGCUUCAUUAGAAGCUCUGUAGAGAAGGUUAUGGCUAAAAUACCAAAAUAUGUGUAGUACAAGUUUGCACCAUGAAAUUGCUCUCCUUCUUUUACUAGAAUUCUUCUUUUAUCAAAUACCUAAAAAAGCACAAAUAAAUCAAUAACAAUCUAUCUUAACCAUUUUAACAUCAAAUUAAGCAUAAAAUUAACCAUGAUUAGAUUGACUCACCUAAAAUAACUAAUUUAAAAUAAUUAAAUAAAACCUAUUAAUUUUUAUGCAUUACUACAAGAACUACGUUAAUUUAUUAUGAAAAUUGAACCUAAAUAAUUUUAUAUCAUAGAGUUAUCACACCCUCAAACUUAAUAUUUUGCUAUUCCUCAAGCAAAACAUAGAAAAGAAACUAACUUACGAAAAUCAAAUUCAGUUAAAGAAAACUAAAAUAAAUAUAGUUACUACUACUACUACUACUACUACUAUUACCACUAUUACUACUACUACUACUACUACUACUACUCAUAUUACUACUACUACUAGAGAUAAAGUGCACCAACUUAAUGAUUCCUAUAAUUUCCUCAAAAGUAUGUCUAUCAAUCAUUAACCUAAGGAAAAAUGUAGGCAUCAAUUAAAUUCAUGUUUCACUUCUAAUGCAAGCAGAUUCUCGAAUGGAUUUUCGUGUGUGGGUGUAAUAUUUUAUCAAGAACAUCAUGACAUCCGGAUAAGUUUGUGCCAACACAAAUUUCAAAUUAGUACUAGAUUUUUGUAGGGUUACUUUUCAUCUCUCUCUCCAUUAAUGUAGACUAAUACAAAGCUAGGGAUCUAUAGGACUUUAUAAAGCUUGUAAUGCAUGGCUAAAGUCAAGGUAUGGUAAAGGAUAUUAAUGUGGCUAAAAUCACCCUAAGCACAUAAUUAUUCUAGGACCUAUAUAUAGAGCUCUAUUUUCCUUCUACAAGUACACAUUUUCUUCCACAUUUGAUAUUUUCUCUCAUUCAACACACCUUUUUUUUUCACAAUUUCACAACCCUAAACUUAUUUUCUUUAUAUUGUAGGUAGUGGGGUUAUUUUUCAUAUUUUGAACUUCUUUUUUCACAUCAACAUCACCUUUCCACCUUUUUCGACAUUCAGAUCAAUUUAUAUUUCCUAAAACAAUAUACAUGCUGAGGAGUGAGGGUUGCAAAAUUGAAAAAUUAAUUUUAAGGCUAAACUCAAUUAUUAUGUAGUUAAACAAAGAAAAGGGAAAUUAGGCUCAAAAAAGGUAUACUAGGGAUAAAAAUUUAACAAGGUUGGCUUUUUAGGCUCAAACGGUCUAAUGAUGGUCUAAAUCAUGUCCUGAACUAAGUAUUGCCUAGGAUUUCACCUCGAGAGAAAAUCAAGCAAAUUCUAGAAUUCAUGACAUAAUCUAAAUUUUACAUCAAUAUAAACUUUCUCUAUAUAUUCGAAUAAUUCAAAGCAAAAGAUCUAGUGCUCAAAAUUGUGGAAAUCACAUUCUAACGAUAAUACUUAACAAAAGAUUUAGCAUGAAUCCAAACAAAAACCUUAUUCACCAAAAGCUAAAAUUUCAAGACAAUUAGUUAUCAUCAUUGAAUAGAGAAAUCAUCGAAAAAAUUGGCAUAACUUUACUCUAGAUUCCUAAAAUUCAAACAAGAGAUAAAUUCCUUUACCAACUAAUCAUAAAUUAUUUAUAAAUCUAGAUAAACAUGAAAAUUAAAUUAAAUUUAAAACUUUCACUGAAUAUUCACCACUAGACAAAUAAAUUCACCCCCUCAAACUUAAAUUAAACAUUGUUCUCAAUGUUAGAAAAAAGAAAGGAAAGGUAAUGAAUACUCCCCUGAUGAUUGGAUAAAUUUUGGAGAAGCUCUAAUUCUCCUCCUUGUCCUUAUCAUCUUUAUUGUCACUUAAAGGAAAUUUUUUUUUCACUACAAAAAAAAUAGAUAAAGAUUAAUGUAGAGAAAUAAAAUAAAUAAUAAAUAAAAAUAAUUGAAAAAAAAAUAAAUAAAGAAAAGGGUUUUUGUUGGGUAAUGGGCUAGUGGGCUGCCCAUUGUUGGCAGCCCAUAAAAGGGGUUCUAGUAAGUGGGUAAUGGAUAAAUGGGUAAACGGGUAAGUGGGCUACUGGGUAAAUAGGUAAGUGGGCUAUGGGUAAUGGGCUUCUGGGUAAAUUGGUAAUGGGUAAUGGGUAGUGGACUAGUGGGCAAAUGGGUAAGUGGGCUACUGGGUAAAUGGGUAAGUGGCCUAUGAGUAAUGGGCUGCUAGGUAAAUUGGUAGUGGGGUGGCCCUUUUUUUUUUUUAUUUUAACAGAGUCACGGCUUCGAGCCUAGUGAGCCGCGGCUCACAUUAUUUUAUGUCUGGGAAGCUACGACAUCGCUUAGUGGGAGUCGCGACUUACCGCCCUUUCUACUUCUUUUUUUUUUUGCAUUUUUUUAUUUUUUUGAAAUAUUUUUUUUAAGAAAAUUUUUUUUUGAAAUAUUAUUUUUUUAUAUAUUUUUUUAAAAAAUUUGAAUUUUUUUUAUAUGAACCUGCACAAAUAAAAGAGAUUGUUAAUAAUUUAAUAGUUAAAUAAAUAAAAUAAACAUAAAUAAAAAAAAGUAAGUUAGAGUGCUUGGGUUACCUCCCAAGAAGCGUUUCUUUAUAGUCACUAGCUUAAGUAUGGUACCCCAUUCUACACUACUUUAUAUGACUUGAGACUUUCUUUAUUGACCUUGACUGCUCCGGUAAGUCCAUUAUAAAUCUUGAUAACAUCAUAAGGAUGAAUCUCUACCACCUUAAAAGUGUUCCCCUAAUAUGGUCUAAGAUUCGAUAAGAUGGAGUUGUGAAUAAGAAAAUACUACGCGCUGUCCAACCACAAAAUCAAAAUAGCUAGAAAGUGGUGGUGGUUUUGUCUCAAGAGUUGGCACCUGCAUUGUUAAAGGUGGUGGAAUAGGCUUACCUUUACCUUCAUUGACUAAAUCCACUUUAUAUCAACUAUCUGUAUAGGGAUACUAAGUUGCAUUGAACAAAUUAAAUACCACUUCCUCGUCUCCAACUCUAAAAGUUAUUUUUCCAUUCUUCACAUCAAUAAUUGCUCCAACUGUAACUAAGAAUGGUCCUCCCAAAAUAAAAGGAAUUUCAACAUCAUCUUCAAUCUUGAGCAUAAUGAAGUCCAUAAGAAUGUAUAAAUGCCUAACUUUAAGCAAAAUAUCCUCUAUAAUCUCUACUGGGUGCCUAAUUGUUCUAUCUGGUAAUUGCAAGGUAACUAUCAUAGGUUGUAUCUUUGAAAUCCAAGUUUCUUGGCAAUUGACAAAGGGAUUAUUGAAAUACUAGCACUUAAAUCACAUAAAGCUUUAGAAAUUUUAAAAGUACCAAUAGUGCAAGGAAUAGAAAAACUCUCUGGAUCUUUAAGCUUUGGUGGAAGCUUAUUCUAGAUUAUAGCACUACACUCUUCAGUAAGUGCAACAAUCUCAAACUCUUCCAAUUUCCUUUUUUUGGUCAAGAUGUCUUUCAAGAAUUUAAGAUAACUUGGCAUUUGUUUUAAAGCUUCAGCGAAGGGAAUAUUAAUGUGUAGUUUUUUAAAUACCUCAAGAAAUCUCUGGAAUUGUUUUUCAAGUUUUUGCUUUUGAAAACGUUAAAGAAAAGGUGGUGGAGGUGCAGGAGUGGAUUAUGAUUUUUUUUUUGAAUUUUCAGUAGAUUUUUCAACCACAAUUUCCUUUUCAGCAUUUUUUUCAAUGUCUUUCCCAGUAGAUUGAAUGGAAAUCUUAGAAUUUAACGAUUGAUUACUUACCUAUUUACGUACCUCUUUUCCAUUGCGGAGAGUGAUUGCCAUACAAUGUUUCUUACUUUCUCUUCUUUGGUUGGGUUCAGUAUCACUUAGUAAGGUACCAUGCGGUCUAGUAUUCAAGGCACUGGCAAGUUGGCCUAUUUGUAUCUCAAGAUUUCUAAUUGAAGUUGCUUGAUUUUGAAUGGAGGCAUCAAUCUUUAUCCUAAAUGCAUCUGUCUUUGUUAUGAAUGCAUCAGUUUUUGUCAUGAAUGCAUCAGUCUUUGUCAUGAACUGCAUAAACAUAUCCUCCGUUGAAGGCUUUUUCUUUGGCAUAGGGAUUCUAGAUGGAAAUCCAGGAGGAAAGUUUAACUUAGCCACUGAUGAAAAGCCUUGGUUGUUAUUCCAUGACAAAUUAGGUGUUGGCUCCAUUAGUUUUUGAUGAUAGUAAAACAUUCCCAUUCAUUUGUGUCUAAUACCUUUACUUAAGUGUGCAGGAAAAUUAAUGUAUGAAAUUAAUAAAUCAAUCUUUCAAACUGUAUAUUAAAAGAAAAAGGGAGAUAAAAAUAAUGAGACAUGAUUGAUUAACAAAGAGGAAGCUCAUUAGUUGAAUAAGGAAGAAUUUUGGUCGACCAAGAUUCAAAUUGGAGAAAUGAUGGGCUGAAGAGUUUGAAGAAUAGAGACAAUUUAGUCAACCAAGAAAAUGGACUAGUCAACUAAGUGCUUACUAUCAGAACUACCAGAGACAGGGAGCAGAACAUAGAGACAACCUAGUCAACUAAGAUAUCAAAUAGUCGACUAAGAGCAUUCUAUCUGCAAGUUUUAAAUCUGCACUAAAAGAUAGAGUAACGGCUAGAAUUGACUCUCAACUGUCUCCAACGACUAAAAAACUUUCAAACUACCACUAGAGAUGUUUCUCCAAGUAUAAAAGGGUCUUCCAACAAUUAGAAGGAAGUUUUUAAAGUUUAGAGAGAAGAUUUAAGCCUUAUAGAGCAAAAAAUCAUAAAAUAUUCUCUGCACUUUGCAGCACUCAAACGAUCAUCUUUUGUACUUGUAUUUUGCACUCAACCUUGUACCAUUUAGAUCAACUUGUGAUCAUAGGUACUUUCUUCUACCUUUUUUAUUUUAUUUUUAGAGUGAGGGAGUCACUCUAAGAGGUUGUUUCAAGCUCGGUGUGCUUGAAGGUGUUAAGGUUCUAACUUAGCCUUGAAAAGUUAGGUGUUGGAUUUUAGUUUAGCUUGUGAAAAACUAGUGUAAAAGGUUUUGGCUGAGCCUUGUAAAAGCCAUUGUAAAGCUUAGUGAAAGCUUGUGAAUUUCAUCAGUUCUCAGUGGAUUUGUUGGAAAAAUCCUUGGUUGGAUAAUCAAGGUAGUGGAUGUAGGUUUUAGACCAAACCAAUAUAAAUUGCUGUGCAUUGUUCUCUGUUUUUAUUUUCUUUGUUCUGAAAAUUAGUUCUUUGUCAAAAGUCGAUUUGUGCUGUUCACCUUGUGAGACCCCAACCUCUAUAGGCUUGUAACUAAGCAUAGAUGUAAAAAUACGAGCCAGGGGUAGUUUCAUCAUUUUCUCUAAUAAGCUCCCAAAAGAAAUUUUUAUAAUAUUUUAAGGUCUAAAUAGGAAUAAGACUGUAUAAAUGACAUGUAUUGAUGAAAACAUGAAGAAAACUAGAAAUGACAAUAAUUUUUCACAAUAGGGGUAAAAUGGUCAUUUUGCACUCGAGUCAAAACUUUUAAAAGUUUCGCAAACCUGAACAUGUCUAGACCAUUAUGGACUUGGUCGUAGUGUUAAAGAGUAAAAAGAUUGCACAAAGGGUUGCAUGAGAACAAGCUAACUAGUCAAGAGCAUUGUCAUAACUUUAAAGGAAUGGAUAAGUUUGGCCUAUAAAUAUCCUUCUUCUAGUAGCUUCUUCUCCCAUUUUCCAACAUCUUGUCUUCUUCUUCCUUCUUCCCUCUCACGUUUCUUUAAAACCUCCAUGGAAGCUUGAUAUGGAGCUUACAUAAUUUUCUCUCUCUAGCUUUAAUUUUCAUACCCUUGUGCCCUUUUGACUAGAACCCUUGUAUUCUUUCACUAUUUCACUCUUUCUCUUCAAAACCCUUAGUAAAGCUUAUUUACAUACUUUCUCUCACUAGUUGGGCAUUCUAGAAAGAGAAAGAGAGAAUUACCCCAUUUGUUUGGAAGCUAUUGGAAGGGAAUUGAACUACAAAGAAAGCCAAGGGUGAGUACUGAACUAAGCUCGAUUUUUAAUAGUAGAAAAUGGCUAGUAAUUAGGAUUAUGAGCUAUUUUAUUGUUAAGGAUGUUCAUUCAUUUUAUAGUAAUUAUGAUAGUGAACAUAGAUAGCCAUUUAAAGUGGCAAUUGAAAGCUAGCUAAGAGAUAGCUUUUAGGGUUUAUAUUAUGUGAAUUAACAUAAUGGUGAUGUUAAUGUAAUGGUAGGUUCCAAUGAAGUUCCAUCCUUCCGUUUGGACAAUUAGAGAAAGAGUCGGUUAAAGGCUUAACAAAAAACCAGUGAGUGAACUACAUUCAAAACUUGUUUCGGGGAUAUAAUGUAUUUGCCAAACAUUUGAAUGAAUUAUCAAGCUUUUCAUAAAAACAAGUGCCUUGGGAACAAGCUUUUGAUAGAUUGUCUCCAUGUUGUGACAUGUGACUAUUAUUGAUUCAUGCAUUACCACAUUGUGUUGAUAUAUAUCUAUGUGAAUACAUUGUUGUGUAAUGAUAUUGACCCGGCUAUGAGCGAGUAGGGAGAACGCAUAACCCGGUGAUGACCUAGCCAUGUGCGAGUAGGGAGUGAGCAUGAGCUGAGAAUGAUGGGAUGGUAUGCAUGAUGGUGAUGGGUAUAUGUAUAUGUAUAAAUACGUAAACAUGUGUGUUAUAAGAAAUUUAUGAGUUAUGUAUAUGGAUGUAAUGUAUAUGAAAUUCGGUAUGUUAAACUUUGGGAAGUUGUUAUGUAUUUCUUAUUGGUUUUGAACAUUUCAACAGGGUGGCUUUCUUUGGGAGAAAGGGAAAUUUUUCAUUGGUGCCUGUAUCUCGCUGCAACGAGAAACUCUCGGGUUUGAGAGCUUUCACUAGAACUGAUUCUUGCUGCAACGAGAUAGUCACUGUAGCUUUUCGCUGCAGCGAGAAACUCUUUGUUUCAUCAGUCGAAUUUUGCUACAGCAAGAAAAAAUCUCGCUGUAGUGAGAAACCUUCUGUCCAUUUUGCUAUCUUGUGGGGUUUUGCCAUAUUUUUCCAUUUCAUUUAUACCCUAGUGGAGCAUAGACUUCCAACAUGUUUGGGGAUUAUUUAACUAAGUUUGAAAUGAGGAAAUUUUGAGAGAAACCCUCAUUCGGCUAAUAACUUAAAUCCCAACAUUGCUGCAACAAAAAUUCAUUCUCGUCGUCGCAUUUGACUUGUUGGUGUAUCGCUGAAGCCUUCAUUUUUCAAAUUAUUGGUUAUGUAUGGGUUCCUCAUUACCAAGUGAUUGAUCAUAUAAGGGUUUAAUGAGGGGUUUUUAAUAUGAAUGAAAUUAAGUUGCAUUGUUUUAAAACAAGUGCAUCAUGAUUUUAAAUUAUUCCUUAUGGUAUGCUUGUUCCCUUCCUUGUUCACUCACUAGGUUUAUACUUACCAGUUUUAAACUUCAUGUUUACAAAUCGAGAGGCAGCCGGUAACUAGGACGAGGUGUCCUCGUAGACUUGUAACCAUCUUUUGGUAGGUGUCUCGGCAUUCAGUAGCUGUACAUUCGUCCGAGUCUCUCCGCUAAAAGUCGAGUAUUAUUUUGUUCUGUAUAGACGAACCUAAUGUAAAUUGUUAAGAUACAUAUUGUAGACAAUGUAUAUAUAUUUGUUUGGUAUGCCAGUAUGAGAUGGCAAUGUGUAGAAUUAUUUUGAUUCUAAGUUAUGAAAUGUGACUUAGCAGUUUAUGACGGAAUGAUAAACAUGUCAGAUUAAUAGGCUUGCUUGGGCUUAGUGGAUUACGUCCAUUGGGCCCAUCCACCGAUCAUGGCCCUGAAUUUGGGUAAUGACAAAGUUGGUAUCAGAGCUCUAGGUUUGUCUAGGUCCUAGGACUUCUUUUUGUUGGUCCAGCAGAGAGUCGGGUCUUUAUGUGGGAAUUUUGGUUAUGAAGUGUGAACCGCGGCAUAUUUUACAACCAAAUAACCACAUAGAUUCCCUCUCUUAGAAACCACCUUUUAUCUUGAGUAUGAUUAUAAAAUGUGUUUAAUAAUAGGUGUUUGCUUUUAUCUAGGUAAGAAUGCCGCCUAAGACACAAGCCGCCUCAAGACGGAUGGGGGAGCAAGAUGCUCCUAUUGAGAUGGCAGGUAGGCCACGGGCAUCCACCCAGAGAAGCCGAGGUAGACGUGGCAAGGCCACUAGGCCGGUGAGGGUGGAUACGCCUGUGAGUGGGCGAGAGGAAGGACAGUCCUCAGGUGAUGUAGAUAGACACCCAGCUCGGGGUAUUACCAUUGAGGAUUUGGCGGCAAGCCUACAGAGAGUCAACCGGGUUGUAGAGAUGAUGGCGACCCGUAUGAAGGAUAUACAGAGGGUAGUAGAGGGGAGAGCUACAGUACAAGAAUCCCUAGCUCCCAAGGACAGGUCGAUCGCCAACAUCGUGAGGUUGAGAGGGGUCACUUAGAGAUUUCUCUUCCCGAUUUAUUUAAGCUUAAGCUUCCAUCAUUUUCAGGGUCUAAUGCAUCAGAGAAACCCUAGGUUUUCUUAGAUAAGAUGGAGAAGAUUUAUAAAGCUUUGGGAUGUUCUAGUGUUCGAUCAAUUGAGCUAGCCGCUUUUCGAUUAGAGGACGUGGCGUAGGAGUGGUAUAGCUCUUUGUGUAUAGGCAGACCGAUGGAUGCAGCACCGUUGGCUUAAAGUGAGUUCAGUGCAGCCUUCUUGGAUCAAUUCUUACCACUCAGUGUACGUAAUGCCAAAACCAGAGAGUUUGAGACUCUAGUACAGACCUCGAAUAUGACGGUGUUCGAGUAUGACAUCAAAUUUACGCAGUUGGCUAGCUAUGCACCCUAUCUCAUUUCUACUAAGGAGAUGAAGAUUCAGAGGUUUAUGGAUGGGCUAGUGGAGCCAUUAUUUAGGGCUGUGGCAUCCUGAGAUUUCACUACCUAUUAUGCAGUAGUGGAUUAUGCUCAGCGCAUUGAGAUGAGGACCAAUGAGAGUAGGGUUGCGAGGGAUAGAGCAAAAAGGGUCAGAAUAGAAGGUUAUCAAGGCCGUAAAGAUUUUAGUAGUGGUGUUUCAUCUUCUAGCCGUCAGGGUACACAGAAGGACUCACAAUUGCCCUAGAGGGGGAGUGACUCGCCUGGUGCUAAUAUUGGGAUGGGAUGGAGAACCUUUAGUUCUAGGAGGCGGCAAAAUUCUAGACAGGGUAGUCAAGUCACCCACCCUUGUGAUACUUGCGGGAGACGACAUAGUGGACGAUGCUUCCUUACUACAAGAGUUUGUUUCAGGUGUGGUCAACUUGGGCAUAUUAUGAGGGAUUGUACGAUGGCUCAUCAAUCACAAGAUUCUGCUCGUGGUUCCACCCAACCAACUUCAUCUGCUCCUUCAGUAGCCUCCUCAUCUGACCGAGAGGGUAGCGGAUCUAAAGGUAGAGGUGCUGGUAAUUCCUCUCAGGGCAGGCCAUCUAGGUCCGGAUGUCAGAGUUCCAUUGGUAGAGGCCAAGCAAGGGUGUUUGCUAUAACACAACCGGAGACCCAGACAUCUAAUGCAGUGGUCUCAAGUAUUCUCUCAGUUUGUAAUAUGAAUGCUAGGGUACUAUUUGAUCCUAGUGCUACCCAUUCUUUUUUCUCUCCAUGUUUUGCAUCUCGAUUGGGUAGAGAUCGUGUAAGGAGAGAGGAACAAUUAGUGGUGUCUACUCCUUUAAAGGAAGUAUUUGUGGUCGAAUGGGAAUAUGAGUCUUGUGUAGUGCGAGUCAAGGACAAAGACACUUCGGUGAAUCUAGUGGUGCUAGACACCUUAGACUUUAAUGUGAUCUUGGGGAUGGAUUAGUUAUCACCCUACCAUGCUAGUGUGGACUGAUAUCAUAAAUUGGUUAGAUUUGAUUUCCCCGGUGAACCAUCAUUUAGUAUUCAAGGGGAUAGGAGUGACGCUCCAACCAAUUUGAUAUCGGCCAUAUCUGCCAGAAGAUUAUUACGACAAGGUUGUAUAGGUUACUUGGCUGUUGUAAGGGAUACUCAGGCGAAGGUUGGAGAUGUAAGUUAAGUAUCGGUGGUGAAAAAGUUCGUGGAUUUAUUUUCUGAGGAGCUACCAGGUUUGCCCCCCGAACGGGAGAUUGAGUUUUGCAUAGAUUUGAUUCCCGACACUAGACCUAUAUCCAUACCCCCAUAUAGAAUGGCACUUGCAGAGCUUAAAAAGCUUAAGGAUCAAUUAGAAGAUUUAUUGGAUAAAGGCUUCAUCCGAACUAGUGUGUCCCCAUGGGGAGCACCGGUGAUAUUUGUAAAGAAGAAAGACAGGUCACUUAGGCCGUGCAUUGACUAUCGACAGCUUAAUAAAGUGACAGUGAAGAAUAAGUAUCCUCUCCCAAGAAUAGAUGAUUUAUUUGAUCAACUACAAGGAGCACAAUGUUUCUCUAAGAUAGAUUUGCGAUUUGGGUACCAUCAAUUGAGGAUCCGGAAUGAAGAUAUACCCAAGACUGCAUUUCGAACCAGAUAUGGGCACUAUGAGUUUUUGGUGAUGUCAUUUGGGCUCACGAAUGCUCUUGCAGCCUUUAUAGAUUUGAUGAACUGAGUGUUCAAGCUUUAUUUGGACAAGUUCAUGGUAGUGUUUAUUGAUGAUAUCUUGAUCUACUCGAGGAGUAGGGAGGAGCAUGAGCAACAUCUUAAGAUAGUGCUCCAAAUUUUGAGAGAACAUCAAUUAUAUGCCAAGUUCUCCAAGUGAGAUCUGGCUUGAAAGCAUUGCAUUCUUGGGACAUGUGGUAUCUAAGGAUAGGGCACAAGUUGAUUCAAAGAAAGUUGAAGUAGUGGAAAAAUGGCCAAGGCCAACAUUAGUUACGGAGAUUACAAGCUUUAUGGGUUUGGCUGGCUAUUAUCGUCGCUUUGUGAAAGACUUCUCCAAAAUAGUCACUCCUCUGACUAAGCUAACACAUAAGGACACAAAAUUUGAGUGGUCUGAUCCUUGUUAGGAUAGCUUUGAGAAGCUUAAGGCAUGUCUCACCACAGCUUCAGUGUUAAGCCUACCUCAAGGCAUGGGGGCUUAUACGGUAUUUUGUGAUGCAUCGCAUGUUGGUUUAGGGUGUGUAUUAAUGCAACGUGGGAAGGUGAUUGCGUAUGCAUCCAGGCAACUUAAAAGGCAUGAGCAAAAUUACCCCGCACAUGAAUUGGAAAUGGCAGCGAUCUUGUUUGCCUUAAAGAUUUGAAGGCAUUACUUGUAUGGUGAGACUUGCGAGAUAUAUACAGACCACAAAAGUUUAAAGUACAUAUUUCAGCAGAGGGAUCUUAACUUACGGCAAUGUAGAUGGAUGGAGUUUCUAAAGGAUUAUGAUUGUACUAUUCUUUACCAUCCCGGUAAGGCCAAUGUAGUGGCGGAUGCCUUGAGUAGAAAAUCAAUGGGAAGCUUGGCACAUAUUUCUACAGAUAGGAGAUCUUUGGUUAGGGAGAUUCAUAGCUUGGGAGACAUGGGUGUGCAUUUGGAAGUUGUGGAAACAAAUGCAUUGCUAGCACAUUUUAGAGUACGGCCUAUUUUAGUGGACAAGAUCAAAGAAGCAUAAAGUAAAGAUGAGUUUAUGGCUAAGGCUUUAGAGGAUCUUCAGGGAAAGAAAGGAAAAAUGUUUACCAAAGGCACAAAUGGAGUGUUGAGGUAUGGAACCAGACUUUAUGUGCCUGAUGCUGACGGGUUGAGGAGAUAAAUAUUGGAAGAAGCUCACAUGGCAGCUUAUGUGGUACAUCCAGGGGCUACAAAGAUGUAUCAAGAUUUGAAAGAGGUGUAUUGGUGGGAAGGACUUAAAAAAGAUGUAGUUGAGUUUGUCUCCAAGUGUUUGGUCUGUCAACAGGUUAAGGCUGAGCAUCAAAAGCUUGUAGGGCUACUACAACCAUUCCCAGUACCCGAGUGGAAGUGGGAGCAUAUUGCUAUGGACUUUGUAGCAACUUUGCCUCAAACUAGUGGGGGAUAUGAUUCAAUUUGGAUAGUAGUAGAUCGAUUAACAAAGUCAACCCAUUUUCUUCCGAUUAAGACUACUUACAGGGCUACCCAAUACGCUCGAGUUUAUGUGGAUGAGAUAGUACGACUGCAUGGUAUCCCCAUUUCUAUAGUAUCUGACAGAGGAGCUUAGUUUACUAGUAGGUUUUGGGGAAAGUUGCUGGAAGCAUUGGGCACUAAGUUGGAUUUCAGCACAACUUUCCACGCUCAGACUGAUGGAUAGUCUGAACGAACCAUACAAACAUUGGAGGAUAUGUUGAGGGCUUGUGUGAUAGACCUUGGGGUCAGGUGGGAUCAAUAUCUACCCUUAGUGGAAUUUGCCUACAACAAUAGUUUCCAAUCUAGCAUUCAAAUGGCACCAUUUGAGGCAUUAUAUGGACAGAGGUGCAGGUCACCCAUUGGAUGGCUAGAGGUGGCAGAAAGGAAACUUUUGGGGCCUGAGUUGGUGCAGGAUGCAAUCGACAAAAUACGCAUGAUUCGGCAGCAGAUGUUAACAGCACAAAGUAGACAGAAAUCAUAUGCUGAUAACCGACAGAGAGACUUGGAGUUCCAAGUAGGAGAUCACGUAUUUUUAAAAGUUUUGCCAACUAAAGGGGUAAUGAGGUUUGGCAAGAAAGGGAAGUUAAGUCCUUGGUAUAUAGGACCCUUCGAGAUCUUAGAAAGGGUUGGAGCAGUGGCAUAUCGUUUGGCAUUACCGCCAGACCUUUCGAAUAUUCACCUUAUGUUUCAUGUGUCCAUGCUUAGGAAGUACAACCCAGAUCCAUCACAUGUAAUACAAAAUGAAACCAUUCAGUUGCAAGAUGAUCUAACUUAUGAGGAGCAACCGGUAGCUAUCCUUGGUAGGCAUGUUAAAAAGCUCCAUACGAAGGAUGUAGCCUCAGUGAAAGUAUUGUGGCGAAACCACACUAGUGAAGAGGUAACGUGGGAAACCAAGGAGGACAUGCGAACCAAAUAUUCACACCUCUUUGAUACUUAGAGGUACGUUAUCUUAUAGUUGAAUUUAAAUUCGGGGACCGAAUUUCUUUAAGUGGGGGAGAAUGUGAGACCCCAACCUCUAUAGGCUUGUAACUAAGCAUAGAUGUAAUAAUACGAGCUAAGGGUAGUUUCGUCAUUUUCUCUAAUAAGCUCUCAAAAGAAAGUUUUAUGAUAUUUUAAGGUCUAAAUAGGCAUAAGACUGCAUAAAUGACUUGUAAUGAUGAAAACACGAAGAAAACUAGAAAUGAUAAUAAUUGUUCACAACCGGGGCAAAAUGGUCAUUUUGUAACUGAGUCAAAACUUUUAAAAGUUUCGCAAACCUGAACAUGUCUAGACCAUUAUGGACUUGGUCUUAGUGUUAAAGAGUAAAAAGAUUGCACAAAUGGUUGCAUGAGAACAAGCUAACUAGUCAAGGGUAUUUUCAUAAUUUUACGGGAAUGGAUAAGUUUGGCCUAUCAAUAUCCUUCUUCCAGCAGCUUCUUCUCCCAUUUUCCAGCAGCUUGUCUUCUUCUUCCUUCUUCCCUCUCACAUUUCUUUAAAACCUCCAUGGAAGCUUGAUAUUGAGCUUGCAUAAUUUUCUCUUUCUAGCUUUAAUUUUCAUACCCUUGUGCCCUUUUGACUAGAACCCUUGUAUUCUUUCACUCUCUCACUUCAAAACCCUUGGUAAAGCUUGUUUCCAUACUUUCUCUCACUAUCUGGGCAUUUUAGAGAGAGAAAGAGAGAAUUACCCCAUUUGUUUGAAAGCUAUUGGAAGGGAAUUCAACUACAAAGAAACCCAAGGGUGAGUGAUGAACUAAGCUCGAUUUUUAGCUGCAGAAAAUGGCUAGUAAUUGGGAUUAUGAGCUGUUUUAUUGUUAAGGAUGUUCAUUCAUUUUAUAAUAAUUAAGAUAGUGAACAUAGAUAGCCAUUUAAAGUGGCAAUUGAAAGCUAGCUAAGAGAUAGCUUUUAGGGUUUAUAUUAUGUGAAUUAACAUAAUGGUGAUGUUAAUGUAAUGGUAGGUUCCAACGAAGUUCCAUCCUUCCGUUUGGACAAUUAGAGAAAUUAGAGUCGGUUAAAGGCUCAACAAAAUACCAGUGAGUGAACUGCAUUCAAAACUUGUUUUAGGGAUAUAAUGUAUUUGCCAAACAUUUGAAUGAAUUAUCAAGCUUUCAUAAAAACAAGUGCCUUGGGAACAAGCUUUUGAUAGAUUGUCUCCAUGUUGUGACAUGUGACUAUUAUUGAUUCAUGCAUUACCACAUUGUGUUGAUAUAUAUAUAUAUAUAUGUGAAUACAUUGUUGUGUAAUGAUAUUGACUCGACUAUGAGCAAGUAAGGAAAGCGCAUAACCCGGUGAUGACCUAGCCAUGUGCGAGUAGGGAGUGCGCAUGAGCUGGGAAUGAUGGGAUGGUGUGCAUGAUGGUGAUGGGUAUAUGUAUAUGUAUACAUACGUAAACAUGUGUAUUAUAAGAAAUUUAUGAGUUAUGUAUAUGGAUGUAAUGUAUGUGAAAUUCGAUAUGUUAAACUUUGGGAAGUUGUUUUGUAUUUCUUAUUGGUUUUGAACAUUUCAGCAGGGUGGUUUUCUUUGGGAGAAUAGGAAAUUUUUCAUUUGUGCCCUGUAUCUCGCUGCAGUGAGAAACUCUUGGGUUUGAGAGCCUUCACUAGAACUAGUUCUCGCUAUAGCAAGAAUGAAUCUCGCUGAAGCGAGAUAGUAACUGCAGUGAAAAGGAAUCUUGCUGCAGUGAAAAGGAAUCUCGCUACAAAGAGAACUCUCUAUUUCAUCAGUUGAAUUCACUGCAGCGAGAAAGAAUCUCGCUGCAGCGAGAAACCUUCGUUCCAUUUUGCUAUCUCGUGGGGUUUUGCCAUAUUUUUCCAUUUCAUUUACACCCUAGUAGAGCAUGGACUUCCAACAUGUUUGGGGAUUAUCUAACUAAGUUUGAAAUGAGGAAAUUUUGAGAGAAACCCUCGUUCGACUAAUAACUUAAAUCCCAACGUCGCUGCAGCAAAAAUUCAUUCUCGUCGUCGCAUUUGACUUGUUAGUGUAUCAUUGAAGCCUUCAUCUUUUAAAUUAUUGGUUAUGUAUGGGUUCCUCAUUACCAAGUGACUAAUCAUAUAAGGGUUUAAUGAGGGGUUUUUAAUAUGAAUGAAAUUAAGUUGCAUUGUUUUAAAACAAGUGCAUCAUGAUUUUAAAUUAUUCCUUAUGGUAUGCUUGUUUCCUUCCUUGUUCACUCAUUGGGUUUAUACUCACCGUUUUUAAACUUCAUGUUUUCAGAUCGAAAGGCAGCCGAUAACUAGGACGAGGUGUCCUUGUAGACUUGUAACCAUCUUUUGGUAGGUGUCUCGACAUUCAGUAGCUGUACAUUUGUUCGAGUUUCUCCGUUGGAAGUCGAGUAUUAUUUUGUUGUGUAUAGACGAACCUAAUGUAAAUUGUUAAGAUACAUGUUGUAGACAAUGUAUAUACAUUUGUUUGGUAUGCCAGUAUGAGAUGGUAAUAUGUAGUAUUAUUUUGAUUCUAAGUUAUGAAAUGUGACUUAACAAUUUAUGAUGGAAUGAUAAACAUGCCAGAUUAAUAGGCUUGUUUGGGCUUAGUGGAUUACGUCCAUUGAGCCCAUGCGUCGGUCAUGGCCCGAAAUUUGGGUCGUGACACACCCCCCCUCUAGCACAUAUUAUUAGGAACAACAAGUGGUAUCAAAGAUAGUUCCUUGUUAUUAAGGUGGAACACCCUUUGGGAGGAUCCAAAUGGCUCAACUAAAAUCAGUAGUGGCUGAGGGAUAAUCAACAAAUAGACCACCUCUGUUUGAUGGCUCUAAUUACCCUUAUUGGAGCACUAGAAUGUCAAUCUAUAUUAGAGCUAUAGACUAUGAAAUGUGGGACAUCAUAACUGAUGGACCUUUUAUGCCCUCAACCGUAAAUGUGGUAACAAAUGAGUUUAUGCAAAAGCAAAGGUCUCAAUGGACCGAGGCUGAGACUAAGAAAGUUCAAGUAAAUUUUAAGGCCAUCAAUACAUUACAUUGUGCCUUGACCCCCACUGAAUUUAACAAAGUCUCAAGCUGUACAACAACUAAACAAGUGUGGGAGAAACUUAAAAUAAUCCAUGAAGGGACUUCUCAAGUAAAAGAGUCCAAAAUUGCCUUCUUAACACAUAACUAUGAAAUGUUCAAAAUGGAGCCUGGUGAAGACAUCACUAGCAUGUUUGAUAGGUUUACAAACAUCACAAAUAAAUUGAGUCAGCUAGGCAAGCCUAUUCUUGAACAUGAAUUAGUAAAGAGACUGCUUAGGAGUCUAUAAAAAAAUUGGAAGCCUAAAGUGACUAUAACCCGAGAAGCAAAAGAUCUAAAUGUUAUCACCUUAGAUGAGAUUUGUGGCUCUCUCCUAACUCAUAGGCUGGAGCUUAAAGAGGAAGAAGAAGAAGAUAAAAGGGAAGCAAAGGAAAAUAAAAAGAGCAUUGCACUUAAAGCCAGCAUCCUUGAAGAAGAACUAGAAAAGCUGUCAUGCAAUGAUGAUGAAGAGUUAGCUUUGGUUGCAAGAAAAUUCAGAAAGCUUAUGGGCAGAAGAAAUCGGAGAUUAGCUAGAAGAGGGUUUAGAAAAGAUCAAGGUGCUUCAUGGAAAUUCAGAAACAAAAAUGACUCCAUCAAAAAAGAGGAGUUAAUUUGCUACGAAUGCAAAAAACCUGGCCACUUCAAGUCAGAAUGUCCAUUGCUGAAAGAUGAGACACCAAAGAAAAAUAAGAAAUCCAAGAAAGCAGUGGUAGUAGCUGCGUGGUCGGACAGUGACACUUCAAGCUCUGAAGCUGAAAAUGAAAAAUCUGAGGAAAGAGCAAACCUCUGCUUGAUGGCACAAAAUGAUGAAACCGAGGUAUCCUCAUCCCCCUGUGACAUUUCUAUUGAUGAUUUACAAGAUGAAUAUGAUAGCCUUUAUGAUGAAUUUGAAAAACUUUUUUCAAAAUACAAAACAUUAAAGAAAAAGGCUACAUCUCUUGAAAAUGAUUUGGAUAAGUUGAGACAAGAAUUCAAUUUUGUUUUUGAGAAUAGAAAUAUUUUGCAAAUUCGGUUAGAACACUCAAAAACAAAUUUGAAGUUUUAAAAUUGGAGCUGGAUAAUAAGUCUGAUGUUGUGCAGAAAUUACUUGAUGAAAACACAGCUUUCAAAUGUUUGAAAAAUGAAUCUUCAAAAGGAUAUGCAUACCACAAUAAAAAUUCUGCUAAUGCAUUACCUAAAUGCUACAAUUAUGGUAAAUAUGGUCUUUUAUCAUAUGAUUGUUUUAAAAAAAGAAAUGUGCAGAAAGUUAGAAAAAUUUAGGUCCCUAAAGGAUCUUAAGUUGCAACUAACUCUGAAAGACCCAUCAAAGCCUGGGUACCUAUAAAGAAAAAUUGAAGUUUUUUUUAUAAGUUGAGCUACACUUAAAGGAGACAUGUUCAAGAGCUCAACUCAAGAAGAAGCAGCCUUGGUACAUGGAUAAUGGCUACUCACAGCACAUGACAGAAGAUGAAAUGUUAUUUGCUCAACUGGACAAAAGAAAAGGAGGUACCAUAUCAUUUGGUGAUGAUUCAAAAGGUAGAAUUCAUGGGAUAGGUACGGUUGGUAAGAACUCCCAAACUCAAAUCAGUCAUGUGUUGCUACUUAAGGGUUUGAAGCAUAAUUUGUUAAGCAUUAGUCAAUAAUGUGACCAAGGAUUUAAAGUAUGCUUUGAUUCAAAUAAGUGUGAAGUAAUUGACAUAAGAAGAAACAAAGUCUCAUUUAUAGGAAAGAGAUUGAAAAAUAUGUAUGUAAUAUUUCUUGAGGUGUGAGACCGAGACCUCUAUAGGCUCGCAACUAGGCAUAGAUGCAAUAACACUAGCUAAAGGUAGUUUUGUCAUUUCUUUAAUAAGACCCUAAAAGUAAGUUUUUAAAGAAUAUUAUGGCUUAAGUAGACCUAAGGCAUAAAUGAAUGAUGAAAUACGGGUAAAAUGGCGAAGGAAAUAAAAAUAAUGAUGAUUCCCAUGGUAAGGGCAACAUGGUCAUUUUUCAUCUUGGGUCAAAAUUUUAAGUUUUUAUUAACUCGAGUAUUUUUAGACCUUUGUGGACCUGGCCUCAGUGUCAAAAGAGUAAAAAGAUUGCACCAACUAUUGGAGAAGAAUAAGCUAACUUGCUAAGGGCAUUUUCGUAAUUUAAAUGGAGUUGGAUAAGCUUGAGCUAUAAAAAUCAGCUUUCAGCAGCUUCUUUUCACAUUUCCAGCAACUUAUUCUUCUUCUUCCUUCUUCCCUUUCAUGUUUCUUCAUCCUCCAUGGAAGCUUGAUAUGAAACCUCCAUAACCUCUCUUGAAAUAGCUCAAAUUUUCAAGCUUUUAUGCACUUUUGCAUAGAACCCUUGUGCUCUUUCACUCUCUCACUUCAAAACCCUUGAUAAGUCUUACUUCCAUACUUUCUCUAACUAGUUAGGCAUUUAGAGAGAAAAAGAGAGCUUCAAUAAAGGCUUGAAAGUUUUUGGAAAGAAUUUCAAUUGUAAAGCUACCAAGGUGAGUAGUGAAUUAGAAUUAAACUUUUCUUAGUGUUGAGAAUGAUUAGUGCUUAAACUUGUGAGUGUCUUGUUGUUGAGGUUGUGCAUUCACUUUGGAAUGAUUAGGAUAGUGAAAAUAGAUAGCCAAUUAGAUGGCAAUUAGAAGCUAGUUAAGAGAUAGCUUUUAGAAUUUACAAGUAUUGGAAUUGAUUUAAUUGUGAUGUUAACGUGAUGAUAGGUUCCAACGAAGCCCCACCGUCCCAUUUGGACUAUUAGGGAAGUUAGAGUCGACUAAAGGUUCAACAAAAUACCGGUGAGUGAACUUGCAUUAAAAAGGUUUUGGGAUGUGUAUACAAGUAUGUUUGAUUGAAUCCCUAAAGCGUUUUAUUUGUUUUAUCUUCAAAACACGUUCGGGAACAAGCCUUUGAUAAAUUGUCUCUAUUUUAUGAUAUGUGGCUGUUAUGGAUUCAUGUACUACUACAUUAUGUUGGUAUAUAUAUAAAUAUCUGUUGUGCAUUGAUAGCUGACAUUGUGUGAUGAUCAUAACCGUGCGUGUGCACGAUGUGGGGGGAUGCACAUGCCGAUGAUGACAGUAGUGAGAGAGAUGGAUAGUGAUAGUGCCCGUGAUGACAGAUGUGGGGGGAUGCACACGAUGGCACUAACUAUGCACGAUGUUGGGGGAUGCACACAAUGACUCCGACUAUGUGCAUGAUGUAGGGGGAUGCACAUGAGCUAGCUGGGACAAUGGUGGUAUUGGUGUUUAUCUAUGUAUAUAUAUGUUUAUGAAAUAAAAGUUCAUGAUUAUGGUAUAUGGUUGUAAUGCAUGUGAAAAUUUGGCAUGUUGAACUUUGGGAAUUUUUAAGUGUUUUAUGUUGAUUUUUUCAUUUAAGCAGGAUGGCCUUCUUAUUGAGAGAAUGGAAACUUUUCUUUGGUGCCCUGUUUCUCGCUGCAGCGAAAAUGAUUCUUGCUGUAGUGAGAAACUCUCGGGUUUGAAGGGUUUGCUUGACCUGGUUCUCGCUGCAGCGAGAAAUUUGCUGGAGCCUUUCGCUGUAGCGAGAAACUUUCUGUUUUGGCCACUUGAAUCUCGCUGUAAUGAGAAACUUUAUGUCCGGUAUGCUAUCUUGCUGAUUCUUGCCAUAUUUUUCCAUUUCAUUUACACCAUAGUUGAUCAUCGAUUCCUAACAUUUAGGGGUUUAUUUAAUUAAGUUUGAAAUGGGGAAUUUUAGAGAGAAACCCUCGGUCAGUUGAGAAACCAUCGUCCAGCUAAUAACUUGAGCCAAAUUUUGCUCCGCUGCAGCGAGGACCCAUUGUUUCAUAUGACUAGCUUGUAUAUCACUUAAGCUUUCAUUCUUCAAAUUCUUUUUUAUGUAUGGAAUCAUUACUAUCAAGUGAUUAAUCAUUUAAGGGUUUAACGAGGGGUUUUAAUAAGAAUGAAACUAAAUUGCAUUGUUUUGAAAAUAAAUGCAUCAUGAUUUCUUUCAACUUUCCCUCUUGUUUGCUUGUUCCCUUCUUAUGUUCACUCACUGGGUUUAUACUCACCGUUUUUGACUUCAUGUUUUCAGAUCAAGAGGCAGUCGAUAACUAGGCUGAGGUGCCCUCGUAGAUUCGUCUCUUUGGUAGGCAUCUCGGCAUUCAAUAGCCAUACGUUGCCCAGGUCUCUCCGUUGGAAGUUGAGUACUCUUUUGUUGUGUAUAGACAAACCGAUGUAAAUUAUUAAAAUAUAUGUUUAGACAAUAUAUGUACACUUUGAUUGGUAUGCCACUAUGAGUUGGCAAUGCUUAGUAUUAUUUUAAUUCAAAGUUAUGAAAUGUGACUUAGCAACUUUGAUGGAAUGAUGAACAGGUCAUAUUAAUAGGCUUGCUUAGGCUUAGUUGUCACGACCUAAAUUUCGGGCCAUGAUCGGUGCAUGGGCCCAAUGGACGUAGUCCACUAAGCCCAAGCAAGCCUAUUAAUCUGACAUGUUCAUCAUUCCAUCAUAAACUUUUAAGUCACAUUUCUUAACUUAGGAUCAAAGUAAUAUUAAACAUUGCCACUUCAUACUAGCAUACUAAACAAGUGUAUAUACGUUGUCUACAACAUGUAUCUUAAUAAUUUACAUUACGUUUGUCUAUACACAACAAAAGAAUACUCGACUUCCAACAGAGGGACUCGAACGAAUAUAUAGCUACUGAAUGCCGAGACACCUACCAAAAGAUGGAUACAAGUCUACAAGGACACCUCGUCCUAGUUGUCGACUGUCUCGUGAUCUGAAAACAUGAAAUUGAAAACGGUGAGUAUAAACCCAGUGAGUGAACAAAGAAGGGAACAAGCAACCAUAAGGGAGAAUUUAAAAUCAUGAUGCACUUGUUUUAAAAUAAUACAAUUUAAUUUCAUUCAUAUUGAAAACCCCUCAUAAAACCCUUAAAUAUUAAUCACUUGGUAAUGAUGAACCCAUACAUAACAAAUAAUUUGAAAAAUGAAGCCUUCAGUGAUACACAAGCAGGUCAAAUGCGACAACGAAUCUUCGCUGUAGCGAAAAGGCAUUCUCGCAUUUUAAACUUACUCAUUGGGAUUAAGUUAUUUGCCGAACGAGGGUUCCUUAACUGGCCGAGGGUUUCUCACCAAACUUACUCAUUUUAAACUUAAUUCACUUAUUCUUUAAUGUUGGAAGUCCAAGCUCAACUAUGGUACCAAAGAAAUGGAAAAUGGAGUAGCAACCAAACCAAAAAGGAAACAAAACAGAAAGUUUUUUGUUGAAGCGAGAUUCAUUCUCACUGCAGUGAAAUUUUGGUCCCAAAACAGAAUGUUUCUCGCUACAGCGAGAAUGCAUUUUCAUUGCAGUGAGAACCAAACUGGUGAGGCUUUCAAAAACCCGAGAGUUUCUCGCUGCAGCGAGAACAGAUCAACAUGAACAAGAUCUCCAUUCCCUCAAUAAAAGCCAUCUUGCUAAAAUGACACCGACAACAUGAAACACAUGAAAUCCCCCAAAGCGCAAUGUAUCUAAUUUCACAUACAUUUCAAUCAUAUAUCAUAUUCAUGCCCUUUCAUUUCAUAAGUAAAGAUAUGCAUACAUAUAUAAAUAACAUCCAUAUCAUCAUAAUCACACUCGGUUUAUGUACAUCCCCCCACAUCGUGCACAUAGCCUGCGCCAUCAUGUGCAUCCCCCCACAUCGUGCACAAUCAGUGCCAUUUGUACAUCCCCCCACAUCCUGCACACAGGCACUAGCAUCAUCCACCUAUCACACCACCAUCAUCACUGGCCUGUGCAUCCCCCCACAUCGUGCACACACACGGUUACAAUCAUCAUACACAAUGUCAACUAUCAUGCACAACAUAUAUAUAUCAUCAUGAUGCAAUAGUGCAUGAAUCCAUAGCAACCACAUAUCACAACACAAAACCAUUUAGCAAAAGCUUGUUCCCAAGGCACUUAUUUUAAGAAAAGUUUGUUCAAAAUCAUUCAAUUGUGUGACAAGUACAUUAUAUUCCCAAACAAGUUUUGAAGGCAGUUCACUCAUCGGUAUAUUGUUGAGCCUUUAGUUGACUCUAAUUCCCCUAAUGAUCCAAUUGGAAGGAUGGGACUUCAUUAGAACCUAGAAUCACAUUAGCAUAAGCGAUAGGUCAAUUCACACACUAUAAACUCUAAAAGCUAUCUCUUAGCUAGCUUUCAAUUGCCACAUUAAAUGGGUAUCUAUGUUCACUAUCUUAAUCACUAUAAGGAAUGAACAUACUCAACAAUAAAACAGCUCAUAAUCCCAAUUACUAGCCAUUAUUCACAGCUAAAAAUCAAGCUUGGUUCAUCACUCACCCUAGGGUUUCUUUGUAGUUGAAUUUUCUUUUAAUAGCUUCCAAACAAAUGGGGUAAUUCUCUCUUUCUCUUUCUAGAAUGCCCAGCUAGUGAGAGAAAGUAUGGAAAUAAGAUUUAUCAAGGGUUUUGAAGUGAAAGAGUGAAAUAAUACAAGGGUUCUAGUCAAAAGGGCACAAAUGUAUGAAAACUAGAGCUAAAGAGAGAAAAUUAUGCAAGCUCCAUAUCAAGCUUCCAUGGAGGUUGGAAGCAAUGUGAAUUGGGAGGAGAAGAAUAAGAAGAAAAGCUACUGGAAAAAAUGGGAGAAGAAGCUGCUGGAACAAAGAGAUAUUUAUAGCCAAUCUUAUCCAUUCCACUUAAAUUACCAAAAUGCCCCUUCACAAAUUAACUUACUCUCCUCCAACCCUUUAUGAAAUCUUUUUACUCCUUUGACACUGAGACAAGGUCCAUAAUGGUCUAGACAUGCUUGGGUUUACGAAACUUAAAAAAUUUUAACCCGAGGUAAAAAUAACCAUUUUGCCCCUAUAGUGAAAAUUAUUGUCAUUUCUAGUUUUCUUCGUGUUUUUAUCAUUACACAUCAUUUAUGCGGUCUUAUGCUUAUUUAGACCUUAAAAUAUCAUAAAACUUUCUUCUGGGAGCUUAUUCAAAAAAAUGAUAAAACUACCCCUGGCCUGUGUUAUUGUGUCUAUGCCUAGUUACAAGCCUAUAGAGGUUGAGGUCUCACAUUAGUGGACUACGUCCAUUGGGCCCAUACGCCGGUCAUGGCCCUGAAUUUGGGUCGUGACAUGAGGAUCUUGAAAUAAAUGAUGAAAUAUGUUUAGUUGCAAAUGCUGAUAGUGAUAGUUGGUUAUGGCAUAGGAGACUAAGACAUGUAAGCUUGCAUACCAUGUCAAAAUUAAUUAAGAAAAAUCUAGUUGUUGGGUUACCAAAUAUAAAAUUUGAAAGUGACAAAAUAUGUGAUGCUUGCCAACUAGGAAAACAAGUUAGAACAUCUUUCAAGUCUAAAAAGAUUGUGUCAACAUCUAAACCUCUUGAAAUGCUGCAUAUUGAUCUAUUUAGUCCAAUAAGCACAACUAGCUUAGAAGGAAAAUCUUAUGGCUUUGUAAUAGUUGAUGAUUAUUCUAGAUAUACAUGGGUUUAUUUUCUUGCUCACAAAAAUGAUGCUUUAUCAGCUUUCAUAAGUCAUUGUAGGAAAGUAGAAAAUGAAAAAGAACUAGCCAUAGUUAGCAUAAGGAGUGAUCAUGGAGGAGAAUUUGAAAGUGAGGAAUUUGAGAAAUUUUACAAUGAAAAGGGGUUGGAUCGCAACUUCUCUACACCUAGAACACCCUAGCAAAAUGGAGUUGUAGAAAGGAAAAACCGAACCUUAAAAGAAAUGGCUAGGACUAUGCUAUGUGAAAAUAACCUACCAAAGUAUUUUUGGGCUAAGGUAGUGAACACAGCAGCAUAUAUACUUAAUAGAGUCUCAAAAAGACCCAUGUUAUCUAAGACACCUUAUGAACUCUACAAAGGUAGGAAACCAAACAUAUCUCACCUAAGGAGCUUUGGUUGUAAGUGCUUUGUAUUGAAUAAUGGAAAACAACCCCUAGGGAAGUUUGAUGCAAAGAGUGAUGAAGCUAUACUUUUGGGACAUGCAUUAAACUCAAAGGCCUAUAGGAUUUUCAACAAAAGGACUUUAACGAUAGAAGAAUCAAUCCAUGUAGUUUUUGAUGAGUCCAAUGCUUUACAAAAAGAAAUUCAUGAUGAUGAUGAUGAUGAUGAUGUAGAAAUUCUAGAAAGACAAAUGGAAGUAAUGAGCUUAGAAAAUAAUAAAAAUAUUGAAGAAAGCUCACCUAGAAGAGAAAAUGAAACUCCACUUCUAGAAAAUCUGCAAAGAGCAGAAAAUCAGCAUGAUGAUCUUUCAAGGAGUUGGAGAUUUGUAAGAGACCACCCACAAGACCAAAUAAUAGGUGACAUUUCACAAGGAGUUAGAACUAGGAAAGCAACAAGAGAAACUUGUGAGUUUUUAGCCUGUAUAUCUCAAAUUGAGCCUAAAAACUUUGAAGAAGCUAAAAAAGAGGAAAGUUAGAUAAUGGCCAUGCAAAAAGAACUUGAUCAAUUCACAAGAAACCAUGUAUGGUCAUUAGUACCUAGACCUUCAAAUCACUCUAUUGUUGGCACCAAAUGGGUGUUUAGAAAUAAGGUAGAUGAGCAAGGAAAUGUACUUAGAAAUAAAGCUAGAUUGGUAGCACAAGGUUACAACCAAGAGGAAGGAAUAGACUAUGAUGAAACCUUUGCACCCGUUGCUAGGAUUGAAGCCAUAAGGUUGUUGUUAGCUUUUGCAUGCUUCAUGAAUUUCAAAUUGUACCAAAUGGAUGUAAAAAGUGCAUUUUUAAAUGGAUUCAUUCAAGAGGAAGUAUAUGUUGAACAACCACUAGGUUUUUAAGAUUUUGAAAAACCAGAUCAUGUUUUCAAACUCCACAAAGCCUUGUAUGGAUUGAAACAAGCUCCUAGAGCUUGGUAUGAGAGGCUUUCAAAAUUUCUGGUUGAAAAAGGUUAUGAUAGAGGCAACAUUGCUACUACUUUGUUUAUUAAAAGAUGUUUAAAUGAUUUAAUUGUUGUGCAAAUAUAUGUGGAUGACAUUGUAUUUGGUGCCAUUAAUGAGGCUUUGUGCAAGAACUUUGCAAAAGAAAUGUAGGGUGAAUUUGAGAUGAGCAUGAUGGCAGAGUUAAAGCACUUUCUUGGUCUUCAAAUUAAGCAAAGUGAGGAAGGAAUCUUCAUCAACCAAGAAAGAUACACUCGAGAUAUGCUCAAAAAGUUCGAUAUGCUGAAGCUCAAAUCAAUCUCCACACCAAUGAGACCAUCCACAGAACUUAAUCUUGAUGAAAAAGAAAAAAUGUAGAUCAAAAGCUAUAUAGAGGUAUGAUCGGUUCACUACUUUACAUAAUAGCAACUAGACCAGAUAUUCAUUUUUGUGUGUGUUUGUGUGCUAGAUUUUAGUCACAACCUCAAGAAUCACACCUAACAACUGUUAAGAGAAUUUUUAGAUACCUCUUAGAAACUUAAACUUUAGGAUUAUGGUAUUCUAGAGAAUCAUCAUUUGAUCUUGUAGGCUAUUCGGAUGCAGACUUUGCAGGAAGCAAAACUAAUAGAAAAAGCACUAGUGGAACAUGUCAAUUUAUAGGUAAUAUGCUAGUAUCAUGGUCCAGCAAAAAGCAAAACUCAAUGGCUUUAUCUACAACAGAAGCAGAGUAUAUAUCACUAGGAAGCUGUUGUGCACAAAUUCUUUGGAUUAAACAACAAUUAAAAGACUAUGGAAUGACUAUGCAUAAUGUACCAAUAUAUUGUGAUAACACAAGUGCAAUUAAUAUAUCAAAAAAUCCUAUACAACACUCUAGAGCAAAACACAUUCAAAUUAGACAUCAUUUUGUUAGAGACCAUGUAAUGAAAAAUGAUAUUAAAAUUGAAUUUGUGAAUACAUUGCAUCAAUUAGCUGAUAUUUUACUAAACCAUUGAAUGAAGAUAGAUUCUGUGAAAUUAGAAGGAAUUUAGGUAUGAUUAGUCAGUAGGAAUUGUGAGAAAAUCUUUGGUUCAUGUACAUGAAACAGAAUGCAUUUAGUUGACUGAGAUGAAUCUUAGUCAACUAAGAGUGUUCUGGUAACAUUAAAUAAUAAGACUCAGUUAAAAUAAGAGAAAGAGGAAUAAAAUAAUGGGAAAAAAUUGCCUACCGGGUAAUAAAGAAAGAAAAAAUGUUUCCUGAGGUGAAUAACUAAAAUUUAGAGGGAGUUUUGAAAUUUUGGGCAAAUAGAAUAGGGCAAUAUUUAAGGGGGAGUUGAAUGGUUUCUCUAAAAGGAAUUAAAAAUGGCUGACAACUUCUCUUUCUCCACUUUUCUCUUCCUUGAAACCAAGUGUCUUAAACUGAAACCCAUCUCUUCACAUUUUCUUCUAAAAUCUAUUCAAACCCUUUGCCAUUUAGACAAAACCCCUAUCAAACAAAUUCUUGAAUCAAAAUGGAGAGAUCUCCACAGAGUAAAGAAAUCGUAGAAAAGCAAAAAGGGAAGAGACCACUAGAAGAAAGGACAGAAACGAAAAGUCUAAAGAAGAAACAGAAAAUCAUGUCUGUGUUAGUGAAAGAGAUAUCGGAGAUACUAAAAGAGAAGAAGCAGAAAAUGAAAAUGAAGAAGGACAAGGAACCUUCACUCAAGAAAGGUACUAGUUCCUCAUCUUCUAAGUUCAGAAAUAGAUUGCAUGAACUGAGGUUCAAAAAUAUUGAAAAUGCACUAAUUUCCUGUGGCAAAUAUAUUGAUUGGAAGAGUUUUGAUGAGAACUUAAAGAUUCAGACUAGUUUAUCAGAUUAUUUUGAUGAGCUAAAACUGAAAGAAUAUAGCACCUUUAAGAAUAGAUCCUAUAGUGCAAGUCUGGUAAAGGAAUUCUAUUCUGGCAUUGCUUUAAAAGAAAAUGAAUUAGAGGAUUCUGAUGAUUAUGUCAAAGAUGGUCUGAAUGUGUAUUUGAAUGCGAAAGAAUUUGUUGUCACUGCUGAGGAUUUAGGAAGCUUACUAAAAAUCGAGUGUGAAGAAGGUGAGUAUGAGUUCCCAGAAAAGUAUGAUCCAUCCUCAUUAUGGGAAAUCAUCACUGAGAGAAAGGAAAAGUAUUCAUUAAAGAGUAAUUCAGGACUGACAAUCAGCCCCUAGAUUAGGAUUUUUCACUACUUUAUAGCAGUAAACAUUCAGGGCAAAAGUAGAAGUUUGAGUUACGUCAGCCUUCAGAAUCUUUAGCUAAUGGAACAUGCCUUCAAUGGAGUUUCUCUGAAUGUAGGAAGGUUUAUGAUUGAAAAGAUGAGAGGAGCUUGCAGACUUGAUAAGAUCAACCUGCCUUAUAGGAAUGUCAUCACAUCUCUGUGCAGAAAAAGGGAGUUUGGGCAAAGAGGUAUGAAAUAAACAUGGUGAAAAUCAAAGAUCAAGCCAUUUACUAUGGCAGUUUGAUCAAAAUGGGGUAUAUACUCGAUGGGGAAAGAUUCAUUAAGACCCCCAAGACUGGUCUUGAAAGAGAAUCCAGUUUGCUUGCUCAACAAGAGAGAGCACCAUCCAGAUUCUCAAAUGAAGUUAUUUUAAAUCUUCUUAUGAAAAUCGAUGGGAAGCUUACUGACCAAGGAGAAAGAUUAUAGAAAAUUGAAGAGAAAAUUACAAAACAAGAAAAUGACUUGAAGAAGGAAGAAAAUGAGCCAUCUAAACCUGUGGCUACAGACACCUCUACAACACCUGGCAUUGCACCAACAUAGCAAGGUGCUGAAAGUUCAGCUGAGCCAGCAAAAAAGUCUACUCCUCAUGGUGGAAGUCAUGGCAUUCAAGCUGAAGGUUCCACCUAUAAAUCUGUCAGUCCUGUUCUACAGACUGAAGACUUUUCACCAAGGGGUUGAUCAACCAGCCAAGACACCCUCUCCGAAACUUCAAAUUAAAAAUGAAUCAGAACAAGGGACUGAAGUGGUUGGUUCAGAAAUAGAGAAGUAGCAGGCCUCCCCUCCCAACUCAAAAAAAAUAUCCAUUAUGGAUAUUUUUCAUCAAAUGGUUAGAGAGGGACAAGCUGAAAAAGACACUGUUAGAACAAAAACUCAAAAAGAUGGUGGAGAUAUAGGAAAAGGGAAGAAACUUGCAUCAGCUCCUAAAGUAAAGGCACAAUCUGGGAAAGAAAAAGCCACUGCAGCACCACCAACAGAGGGAAAACUACCAACCAAAGGAAAUAAGACUAUGGCCACCAAGAUAACUUUUCUCAAGAGAAGAAAGUUUUCCAGGUUGGCAGGGUAAUCCAGACCAGUUUCAGCCUCUUCUCCUCAGAGUCUAGUCCCUAUCUCAAACAAAGCCUCACCAGAACCUUCCCCUAGAAAGUCAUCACCUCUCCGAGAGCCCUCUCAUUUUCCUCUAAGCCCUUUCUAUGGCACUGAAUCCUCACCCUCUGACACAUCAAACGAAUAGAAGCCCCUUCCUUUGAUGCUAACAAAAAGGGGAAGUAGAAUGGCAGAACCAAGCGUACAGGAACCAGCCAGAGAAUAAAUUAAAAAAAAUGUGUUAGGGUGGACAAACCAGGAAAGAACUUAGAAAAGAAAAGAAAGCAGAAAUGAAUCAAGAGUAGGAACUUAGAAAAAUAAGGGAUAGGAAGCAAAUACUGUUCAGGGGUAAUUUCGAAACAUCUUUUAAUUAACUACUAUAUGUGCCAUGGGGGCACUUGAACACUCAAUUUUAAUUUUGUUGUUUAUAUGGUAGUGUGAGACAUGAAUGCUAAUAUAUCUAUGAUGUUUGUUUGCUGAAAAUUGAAUGUUUGCUGAUAAUCUGCUAUCCAUGAUAUUUAACUGUUGUUAACAAAAUCUGCUACUAAACCAUAUUGAACUACAUGCUAAUAACUGCUACUGUAUGCUGAAAAUUAUGGAUGUUGUGUAUAGUGUGUUGACUGAAUUAUGAAGGGAAUAAACAAAAUUUUAUGACUAUAUACUGUUGACAGAUCCUGCAGAAUUUUUAUGAAAAACUGUCAACAUUCAAUGCUAUAAAUCACACCAAAAUUCUAUACAUCUGUAUGCUUUAAAUUUACAAUGUCAUUCUCUACAUGACGAGGAUAAAAUUUGCUGGAAUAAAUAUGCACACACUAAGGGGGAGCAUAUGCUUAGGGGGAGCAAUCCUCAUUUUCUGCAGAAAACUAAAAUGAGUAAAAAGACACUAUGCUGUUAAUCAAGGAACAUUUUGUCAUCGUAAAAAAAAAGGGAGAUUGUUGGCUCCAUUAGUUUUUGAUGAUAGUAAAACAUUCCCAUUCAUUUGUGUCUAAUACAUUUUACUUAAGUGUACAGGAAAAUUAAUGUAUGAAAUUAAUAAAUCAAUCUUUUUAAAGUAUAUAUUAAAAAAAAGAUAAAAAUAAUGAGACGUGACUGAUUAACAAGGAGGAAGCUCAUUAGUUGAAUAAGGAAGAAUGUUGGUUGGCCAAGAUUCAAAUUGGAGAAAUGGUGGGCUGAAGAGUUUGAAGAACAGAGACAACUUAGUCAAUCAAGAAAUGGACUAGUCGACUAAGUGCUUACUGCCAGAACUGCCAGAGACAGGGAGCAAAAAAAUCAUAACAUCUUCUCCACACUUUGCAACACUCAAACGAUCAUCUUUUGUACUUGUAUUCAGCACUCAACCUUUUACCAUUUAGAUAAACUUGUGAUCAUAGGUGCUUUCUUCUAGCUUUCUUAUUUUAUUCUUAGAGUGAGGCAGUCACUCUAAGAGGUUGUUUCAAGCUCGGUGUGCUUGAAGGUGUUAAGGUUCUAACUUAGCCUUGAAAAGUUAGGUGUUGGGUUUUAGUUUAGCUUGUGAAAAACUAAUGUAAAAGGUUUUGGCUGAGUCUUGUAAAAGCCAUUGUAAAGCUUGGUGAAAGCUUGUGAAUUUCACCGGUUCUUAGUGGAUUUGUUAGGAAAAUCCUUGGUUGGAUAAUCAAGGUAGUGGAUGUAAGUCUUGGAUCGAACCAUUAUAAAUUCCUGUGCAUUGUUCUCUGUUUUUAUUUUCUUUGUUCUGAAAAUUAGUUCCUUAUCUUGUCAAGAGCCGAUUUGUGCUAUUCACCUCCUCUCUAACACAUAUUAUUAGGACCAACAUUAGGAUGAUUCCUCCAACUAGGAUUAUAAGUGUUGGAAUAGGGAUUGUUCUGUUGCCUAUUUCCAACAAAUUGACAAGACUCAGAAUAUAUGGGACAAUUGUCAUUGGAAUGUCCUUCCCCACAAAAUUCACAUGUCAUAAAGGAGUUUUGAACAACAUUUAACUCUCAGUUUAUCUAUUUUCUUUGCGAGAGAUGCCAAUUGUGUAAAGACAGUGCUUAUUGCAUCUAAUUCAUGAAUUCCAACCAUUUUUCUUGUACCCAAUCUUUCAGAUGGCCAUUGAUAAUUAUUAGAAGCUAUCUCUUCGAGCAAAUCAUAAGCCUCAUCAAUGGAUUUACUCAUGAGUGCACCUUUAGCGGCAGCAUCAAUGGUAGUUUUAGAAGGUCCUAGGAAACCAUUAUAAAAAGUUUGAACUAGUAGUCACUUAGGUAAUCCAUGGUGAGGACACCUUCUUAUUAAAUCCUUAUACCUUUCCCAAGCCUCAUAUAGUGAUUCGGAAUCAAAUUGUAUGAAAGAAGUGAUAUCAUUCCACAUCUUUGCUGACUUUGCAAGUGGGAAGAAUUUUGCUAAGAAUUUUUUAGCCAAAUUAUCCUAAGUAUUAAUGGAACCAACAGGAAGCGAAUUUAACCAACUCUUUGCUUUAUCUCUCAAUGAAAAAGGUAAAGGCCUCAAUUUUAUGGCAUCAUCAGUAACACCAUUAGCCUUGAAUGUAUUGUAGAUUUCUAGGAAAUUUACAAUAUGAGCAUUCGGAUCAUCAUUAGGCAAACCCCCAAACUAAAUAGCAGUCUGAAUCAUCUGAAUGAUUGAUGGCUUCAUUUCAAAGUUGUUGGCUUGAAUAGGAGGUCUUCAAAUACUAAAGUGGAGAUUUUGUACUCAUGGGACUAUAUAAUCCCUCACAGGCUUGGUCUCUUCCCCUUGUUGAUCAACCAUUGUUUUACUUGGAGCAGAAAUGUAUUUGUAUUUCCUCCAAAGUCUUCAAAAAGUUUUUUCGAUUUAUGGAUCAAAAAGAACAAUUUUCAAAUUUAGGCUCUUCACAUACAACGACCAAAAGUACUUGAAAAAUUAAAGAAAAGAAAAGUCUAUAUUGAAGCUAAAAAUGCUUGGUAUUAAUAUUAACAAGGAAGAAUUAAAAAUCAAUUUCUCGACAAUGGUGCCAAAAUCUUGUUGUUCAAUUUUCUACCCACGCAAAUGCACGUAUCGCAAAGAUAAUAUAGAGAUGAGUAGAGUGUCAAUCCCACAGAGAAUUGAAUUAAUCCUUAUUAUUAACUACUAAAAUUAACACACCUUAAUUUUAUCUAAACAAUUAAAAUUAAAAAGGAAAAUUUAAAUUAAUAAACUAAAAACUAAAACUAAUAUAUCAGCAAAUUUUACUUCUAGUGAUUAAUAGACCUAAGAUUACGAUAUCCCUCAAUACUUCAUUUGAAUAUUGUCUCUCUCGUGACUUAGUUUAAUGGAUUAAGUUGCUAACCUAGAGUCCUAAAUUAUUUAUCAGUCUCUGUCGAGUUUCUUAAAAAAAUAUCUCUCUCAAUUAAUUUUCUAUAUGUCUAUGCAAAUUGUAUUGAAAAAAGAUUCAUUAAGUUUGUGCUCUAAUUUUGGCUACAUAUGGCUUAUAGGUGUAUGUCUAACUUAUAUGCAAAUCAAACCACCUAAUCAACUAAGUGUCUUCGAUCAUACGCUAUUCUAUUCAAGGUUUACCUAAAUCUCCUUCGUCAAGGCUUAACUUAGGUUCCCAAUUCAAUCUAAUUGGUGGCCAGUCAACUAAAAACAUUAAGAACAGAAUAAAAUAAACAACUUAAAUCUAUCAAACAUAAUCAGAAGAGAGAUAAAUAAUUCAUACUACAUAUUUAGUUCAAUCAUAAUCUUAGAUUAAUAAUUUAGUUCUCUAUCAAGUCACACAUCAUCAUUGAAUAAAGUUUAAACAUGAAGAACAAAACCAAGAAAAUAAGAGAAUAAAAGAAAAGAUAGAAAAACUCAAGAGUUGUAUUCUUGAUCUCCAAAUCACCUUGAAUCCUUCAAAUUCUUCGUAGCUUCAAUGACUCUGUGGCUUGAGUCUCAACUAUUAAUCUGGUGUUUUUCUCUUCUUCUCUGAAAGGUUAUUUUUAUAGGCUUUGAAGUUAGGCCAAGUUGGGUGGAGAAAGAAGUCAAUUCUAGCUAGGAUUUCCUUAUCAGACUAUGUGAGUCAUAGCCUUACCCAAUUAAUUAACAGAAAUCAUAAUUGGUCUAGGACUACUACAAUAUGUUAAAUUCAACAAGAGUUUUGACUACAUAUCAGGCUGAACUGGGUGAAGUGGCAAAUGAAAGGUUGUAUCUUUUUCUCUUAUCUUUCCAAUGGUCCAAAAAUCGCUUCAUUUGAAGCUCUGUAGAGAAAGUUAUGGCUAAAAUACCAAAAUAUAUACAGUGCAAGUCUGCACCUUGAAAUUGCUCUCAUUUUUUUACUAAAAUUCUUUUUUUAUCAAAUGCCUAUAAAAGCACAAAUAAAUCAAUAACAACCUAUGUUAACCAUAUUAACACCAAAUUAAGCAUAAAAUUAACCAUGAUUAGAUUGACUCACCUAAAAUAACUAAUUUAAAAUAAUUAAAUAAAAUAUACUAAUUUCUAUGUAUUACUACAAGAACUAUACUAAUUUAUUAUCAAAAUUAAGCCCAAAUAACUUUAUAUCAUAUAUUUAUCAACCGCAGCCAAGAUUUUUUAGCGUCGUGGCACUAAAUUUUUGAUACAAUAGCGUCGUGGCAUUCUAGCCUAAAAAACAAUGUAUGGUGUGUUUCAUUUCACCAGUGUGGCAGCCUUAUUCUCCUUAGUGCUGCAACCUUGGCUGUCUCUUAACUUUCCAAUGGAUCAAGAAUCACAUUAAUUGGACUUCUGGAGUGGAAGAUAUGCUUCAAAUACCACAUCAUAUUCAGUCCAUGUGUACUACUACAGUGCUCUGAUUUAGACAAAUAUUUCAACCAUGAUGUGAUCAGAAUUGGGCAUAGUGUAAACAUAAAACAUUAUAGCCCUUCCUCUGAUCUUUCUAUUGGUCCAAGAAUCACCUCAUUAGGAGUUCUGUAGAGAGGGAUAUGGUCAAAAUACUACAACAUAUAUGAAUGAAUCCAUCACCAUACUUGCACAGAGUUUCAUCAAAUGAGCCUUUUUCAUCAAAUUUCCUACAAAAGCAAUAAGACAAAUCAGCAAUAACUACUCUAAAAGUAAUUUAAAAUAAAAUAACUUAAAUUAAAUAAUCAACAUGUAAUCGAACUUAAACUAGAAAAAUACCUAAAAUGCUAAAAUUAGAAUUUAAAAAUCUCAAAUAUCUAGUAAUUUAAGCCCUCGAAAUGUGUCAAAAAAACUCUAUGUAAUAGAGUUAUCAAGCUUGUGGUGGAAAACUUGGAGGAAAGUUUGGCUUUAUUGUUGAUGAAGAUUCUUGGUUAUUGUUCUAAGAGAAAUUUGGAUGAUUUCUCCAACUAAGAUUGUAGUUGAUGGAACAAGGAUUAUUUUGCUAUCUAUUAAAAUUCCUAACAAAUUGUAUAGAUUCAGCAUUAAUUGGCAAUGAUCAUUAGAAUGCCCAUCUCCACAUAACUUACAUGUCAAAAAAUGACUCUAAACAGCAUAGACACCCAAGAAUCAAUUUUUUGUAGUGAGAGCAGCCAUUUAUGUAGUCAAGGUAUAAAUUGCAUCAAGCUCAUGAAUACCAGUAACUUUUCUUAGACCCAAUAUCUCAGAUGGCCAUCGAUAAUAGUUGGAAGCCAUCUCCUUUAAUAAAUCAUAUGCCUCAUCAAUAGAUUUUGCCAUUCAUACCCUUUUUGCUGCAACAUCAAUGAUGGUUCAAAUUAGUCCCAUCAAACUAUUAUAGAAAGUCUGUACUUGCAGCCAUUUAGGUAAUCCAUGGUGAGGACAUCUUUUAAGUAAAUCAUUAUACCUUUCCUAAGCCUCAUAUAGUGAUUUCGAAUCAAAUUGCAUAAAAAAUGUCAUAUCUGUCACGACCUGGAACCUCCCUUGGACCCAUGACAACCGCCGCGACAUUCCAAUUGACACCAUUACCCGGAAUGCCAACCGGAACCCUGCAAGACUUACAUAUCAGUUUCUUUCCUUUCCUGUGAGCAAUCGUUGUUAAACAUUCUAUUUUAAACAAUUACCGGUCGUUUCUGGCUCAAAUAAAUCAAAAGACAAUUUUUUUUAAAGGAUUUAUAGACAAAUAUCACUAUUCAAAAUAUUGAUUAAAAUAUAACAUUUUUAUAUAAAACAAUAUUUAUAGAAACACGUGUAAGAAAUCUUUUGCAACAUGUAAGUAAAAUAAAUUCAUAUAUAUAAAAAUUUACAAAGUUAUAAUGUACAAUAAUGGUUACAAUGACAAGUGGCCCAAAAUACACCUAGUGUUGGUGCUAAAAACCUACUGUCUGUGUGGUAGAGAUGUCAANNNNNNNNNNNNNNNNNNNNNNNNNNNNNNNNNNNNNNNNNNNNNNNNNNNNNNNNNNNNNNNNNNNNNNNNNNNNNNNNNNNNNNNNNNNNNNNNNNNNNNNNNNNNNNNNNNNNNNNNNNNNNNNNNNNNNNNNNNNNNNNNNNNNNNNNNNNNNNNNNNNNNNNNNNNNNNNNNNNNNNNNNNNNNNNNNNNNNNNNNNNNNNNNNNNNNNNNNNNNNNNNNNNNNNNNNNNNNNNNNNNNNNNNNNNNNNNNNNNNNNUUAAAACAAGGCUCAAGCCAAAACUAAUCCUCGGGGAUACCUUGGUCGAGGUAUCUAAUCAAGUCCGCCAAGGUUGUUAUAACAUUUACAUGUGAAACACAUUUUUAUUUUUAAAACAAGUCGUUCCUUGGCGUUGGCCAAGUUACACAUUCACGUGGGGGUUCGACGUGAAGUGAGCUCUAAUACUACCCCAGGAGUUACCCUCCUCGCCUCUACAACCGGAGUAACUAUAUAACCGGGUUUAUCGUGCCUCUCUAAUAGGCAGUCCACUGAAACCCGUCACUGCAGUGACCAACCCACCAAUUUUAAUAAAAUUUCGACAGUAUAACGUGGCUUUAUUUGUCAAUACACUUACAAAAUAUAUUUACAAAAUAUAUAUUUAUCCAGCCUGCAUAGUAAAACAACUUACAUAAAUUUUCCAAUACACUUACAAAAUAUAGCCACAUAUACUCAUAUCUCAUAAGCCAUUCAUAGGAAAAUAUAUAAUUUUCAAGACAGUUAACAGCCUCCAAUUACUCAAUUUCAUAAUCAACCCAAUAUAUCUUUAUUUGUCACAUUUAUUGGUAAAACAUCAAAAAUCCCGUUUUAAUCUCGUUUUCAUUUCAUAAAAUACAUAAAGAGCAUUUAAAAAUAAACUCUAGAUAAUUUACAAUAAUAAUAAGUUUACUCACCAUUUGUACAAACUAAAAGCUUUCAAGGCACCCCGAUAACUACUCGUCGGGUACGAUUUUCUUGCCUUUACCGGAAGGCUCUCCUCCUAGACACAUUGUAAAAAUUUACUCAAUUCAUCACAUUAAUGCUAAAUCACUAUAUAUUUGACUUAAAUCCUAUACUAAUGCAUGGUGUGAAAUGCAAUAGCCAAAAACGGCUUAAACACGGUAUUAACUUAUUUUUGGUACUUUAUCCUAUAAAUUGCUAACGCGCUCCAUUUUAGCUCUAAAUUGUCCCAUUCUCUCUCCAACAUUUCUAACCAUUAAUUAUCAGCCAAUAUUCCUCUAAAAUCACCAAAAUCAGCUCACUCUCUUCCUUGGAAAAUUUGGCCAAAAAUGGGACAUUAACUCGGUUAAUUUUCCACUUUGUUUUUCUGUCACAUUUAAUCAUUUUUCUUCAUUUUCUCUUCAUUUCUCUUAGAAUAAAAAUCAGUUCAUUAUCAUUGGACAUCAAUGCAUAUUCAGCCAAAGGUGGGUAUUGUGGAAAUUUUAUGUUUUCUUGUCCAAUUUAAUUUCUAUACACAUUUAACUAACUAAAACUAUCAAUUUAACUAAAAAUCAAAACCUAAAAAUUUCAAAAUUUCUCCCCUAGAAUUUCGGCCAGCACAUGGUGUCACUCUUUGAUCUUUCUCCUCAAGCAUGCUAAAUGGAAAUAAAGGCAUAGGAAAGAUAGAAAUCAAGCUAAAAUCGAAAAAUCUUACCGUUAGACGCCUAAACGGACGAAAUUCGCGAUUUCCCCUUUGAAUUUUCUAGUUUCCCUUUGUUUUCUCCCUUUUCUUCCUUUCCUCUCUAUUUUCCUCUCUUGUUCUUCCUUAUGGCCGGCCAUCACUUAAAAUGGGGUUUAAAUGGGCUGACUUUUUAUUAAAAUAGUAUUAUAAUAUUAUUUUAUUUAUUUUUUUGUUUUAUUAAUUCCUUAAAUUCUAGCCAUCCAUUUGUUUCCAAAUUUUCACCAUAUACUUGUCCCACAUAUCCAUAGCUUAUAAAAUUUUUAGACUUAUCCAAAGUCUUGGUGGAGUAAUUUUUGAAAUUUACACUUUUGCCCCCGUAAAAGUCAAAAAUUAUAUUUUUACCCCAAAAACUGAAAAAUUGCCGAUAGAUAUAUUUUUCAUCCCUUAUACUCAUACCAUUCUCCAAUUUGUCAAAUGUAAUCUAAAUUCUCUCAAAAUCUAAAAUUUUAUCCACUGGUGGAAAAAUUACGAUUUUGCCCCUAAACAUCAAAAUUUUCAAUUUUUCCCCAAAUGAAUCCUCGAACUCCGAACAAUCAUUUUUAGUCAUUCCUUGACUAUAAAAUGUUAAAUUUCAUCCUACGAUUCCUAUUUGAACUAGUUCGAGGUUAAAUUAAUUCAAAUGUACCGUUAGGUACAAUAUCGAGUUUCGUCUAUUCUUAGGGACUUUCCUAGCAUAAUAACAUGCUACUCAGUGCAUGUGUAUUAUGACAUGUAUUUAUAGGGUUGGGUUUUACAAUAUCAUUUCACAUCUUUGCUGUCUUAACUAAUGGAAAGAACUUAGCGAAAAUUUUUUAGCCAAAUCAUCCUAAAUACUAAUGGAAUUAGCUGGAAGUGAAUUCAACCAACUCUUUACCUUGUCUUUCAGUGAAAAUGGGAAGAGCCUCAAUUUAAUAGCAUCAUUAAAAAUGCCAUUGGUCUUGAAUGUAAUACAAAUCUCCAUAAAUUCACAAUAUGUGUGUUAGGAUCAUCAUUCAGCAAUACCCCAAACUAAACUGAAGUCUAAAUCAUAUGAAUGAUGAUUCUAGACUAAAAAAUUAGUUCAACAUAAUUCCUAAAAAUAAAUUUAACCAUCAAAACUAAACAAGAAAGUAUAAUGAUAACAAGAAAAUAGCUCUAAUGUUUAUCAAGCCUUCAAUCUGCAAUCUUUCUUGCUAUCUUCAAUGCCUCUUUUCUUUAAGAAAAACCUUGCUUAAUUGUUCCUUAAAUUUGCUUUGAAAGAGGGGAUUAAAUAGAGCUCAAAUCCAUGUCAAAAUAAAAGUCUAAUUGCACCAAAACUCUCCCUUCACAUAUGGGAACCGUGGUCAUGGCCCAUUGGAACCAUGGCACUGAAUCCUCUGUUUCCUAAAAUGUCCUUGCCUUGUUUGGGUGUUGCAGCGCCCAUGCUUCCAUGAUCGUGGCACUCGACACUCUAUCUUGAAAUUUGAGGCUUUACUGCAAUACUUCUAAUUUUAACUCAAUUUUCUCCUUUUCAAGGCUGAAUUGGCAAACUGGUAAACAUGAAGGUUGUAUCUCUUCCUCUUAUCUUUCUAAUGGUUUAAAAUUCACAUUAAUUGGACUUUUGUAGUGAAAGAUAGGCUCAAAAUAUGGGAACAUGUGCAAUGGAAGUCUGUGCGUUAAAUGCAUCAUUCUUCUCAAAAUGUCACCCCUUUUAUAGCACACCUAUAAAAGCAACAAACUAACUUAUAUAAUAACUAAACUUAAAUCAAAAUGUCAUAAAAUUACCUAAAACAAUUGAACCCAAUAUAAUUAGAUUAAAUUAAAUAAUGAGUAAGAAUAACUAAUACUUAAAUUAAAUCUCAAGAACUCAAACAAAACACACCCAAAAUUGUGACCAGAGAACUCUAUACAAUAAAGUUAUCACAUCCCCAAACUUAAGCUUUUGCUAGUCUAUGAGCAAAACAUAAAAGAAUCUAAAACUAAAACAACUUAAAUGAUGAAAGGAAUCAUAAAUAAACCAAUUAACUAGAGAGAAGUAGUACCAACUCACUGAUCUCCAUAUUUUCCUCAAAAGUAUAUUUAUAAAUCUCUAACUCACGAUAAAAAAUAGGCAUAAUUCAAGUUCAUUUUUCAUUUCAAAUGCAAGCUUAUUCUCGAAUGAAAUUUCGUGUGUGUAUGCAUGAGCAAUUGUUUACAAAGAACAUCAUACCAGUGCAAAAUUUCAAAUUAGUACUAGAAUUCCAUAGGUUUGUUUUUCAUCUUUCUCUCCACUAAUGUAGACUAAUACUAAGCCAAGGAUCAAUAGGUCUUUAUUAAGCUUGUAAUGUAUGGCUAGGGUCAAGGUAGGAUAAAGGAUAUUAAUGCGACUUAAAUCACCCUAAGCACAUAAUCAUUCUAGGACUUAUAUGGAGAUCUUAUUCUGAUUCUUCACAUACACCUUUUCUUCAACUUUGAACUUUUCUUUCGUUCUACACUUUAUAUCUUUUUUUUUCAUCACAAUUAAACACCUCAAACUUAUUUCUUUCUAUUGUAGGUAGUGGGGUGAAUACAUAACAUAUUCAAUAUCUAGCUCAAUACACUUCCUAAAAUGAUAUACAUACCUAUGAGUGAGGGAUGCAAAAUUGGAAAUUUAUUUAAAAGGAUAGGCUAAAAUAAUUAUGUGGUUAAACAAAAAAAAAAGGAAAAAUUAGGCUCAAUAGGGUAUACUAGGGAUAAAUAUAUAACAAGAUUAGCUUGAAAGGCUUAAACAAUACAAAGAUGUCCCAAAUCAUCUCCUUAACUAAGUAUUGCCUACGAUUUCGCCUUAAGAGAGAAUCAAUGUGCCACGACAUCGAGAGGAAAAAUAUGAAGAAUUAGUGUAGAAAAUAAAAGGGAUACAUGUUGAUUAAUGUUUUAUGGGUUUUACAGCUAUUCUAAGCCUAUAUUAAGAGCUAAGCAAGCCUAAUUAGGGAAACUAGGUUAAGUUAGUGGUAUUUAAAGAGAGCUUGAGGAGUAGUUAGCCAUAAGAAGACAGCCUUAAGAGAGAUUUCAGAAUUUAAAACUUGAGGUUGAAGGUUGAAGAUUAAAGCUGCUAAUAUUUGUUUUUCUUCUUCCUUAGCUUUUAUUAUUCUUGUAACUCUUGAUGGCUAAACUUCAUAUGUUUUUAUUUAUUAUUGCAAUUAUGAGUAUAUAAUUUCUUUUAUCAAGGAUUGCAAUUGAACUCACAUGUAAUUUAAAUUUUUAAUCUCUUUCUUACUUAUUUUUAAUGGAUUUGGAUUGUUUAUUCCAAUUUGUUUUUAAUGCUUUUAAUUGACUGAUCACCAAUUAAAUUAAUCUAGAAACCUUAACAUAACUUGAAAGAGGGAGUCUAGAGUAGGCUAAAAUUGGAAUAGCAUAUGAUCAUAUUUAUUUGCUUGGAUGAAUAAAUUGAUUUGUGUAUAAGAUAGAGAUAUACCUAUAUGUUGUAUGCAGCCAAGAUUAGAGUCUAAACUUAAUGAGUUUGUUUUAAUUUCAAUUCACAUAAAAAUAUAGUGUUUUGAUUAAAAUAGAUAUUUUUAUAAGAGUUUCAAGAGAGUCUAAUAAAUAAUUCAGGAUUUUAAGUUAGCAAUUUAACCCAUUGGAAUAAGCUAAGAGAGGGAGGUAAGCUUUAGAUAAAGUGUCAGGGAUAUUGUAAUCCUAGGCUUGUUUGAGUUGAUUUUUAUCUAAAUUUAUUACUGCUUUGAUUUUUAGAUUAAUUUUUUGUUAAUUAGAUUUAGUUAAUUUUUAAUUUAUUUAGUUACUUGAUUUUGUUUGUUUGUUUGGAUAAGACUAAAUUGUGUUAAUUUUAGUACUUAGCUAAAUUUUAUAUUAAUUAUUUGUGAGAUCGACACUCUGCUUACCAUUAAAUUAUCUGUUCGAAAUGUAUCUUGUGUGGGUAGAAAAUUAGAACAACAAUAUUAACAAGCAAUAUCAAUCAAGCAUUUCUAGGAAAUUCUCAAAUUCAUAUAUAAAAAAACAACUCAAGGAGAAUAUUCUUCAAAUCAUGUAUGAAAUAAUCAAUUCAAGGUGAAUUUUCACAUCAAGAAAAUAUCAUUAUUAAGGAAACAUUACCAAAGUAUUUUGCACUUGUUCUAAUUAUGUAAGAGAAUAUUAUAAUCAAGUAAGCACAAGCAUAAUUAAAAAAAAUAAAAUAGCUAUCUUCAUUAAUCAUGAAUCUAAUUUGUUUAACAAAAUGCAAGCAUGAUUUCAAUUUCAUAAGAAUAGACAUAUACCCAUUGAAAAAUAUGCAAGUAUUGAACUUCAAUGUGGUACAUGCUAUUUCUCAAUAAUCCUCAUAAUUCAUGAGUGUGGAAUAUUGAAAAUAACGCACUCAACUCAUUAAUAUGUCAAAAGUGAACAUCCAAGCAUUAAUGAAUAUUAAUUACCAAGAUUCAAGAAAUGAGUAUUCAUUCUAAACACGUUAAGCAUUCAGUGCUCACUUAUUAAGUCAUAUCUCAUUUGACAUUUUAGAUUAUUUAUAAUAACCUAUAAGCUAGAGUGGAUGCACACCAAAUUUUUAGAUCAUGUGAACUUUUUAAGGCUCAAUGAAGACAUAGUAAUAUUCAAAUGCAUAUUCAAAGGAUAUUUCAACUAUGUCAACACAAACUCUAUGUCAUGAUCACACUUGACUUCAGUUAUGAAGUUAAGCACUAUAAGCAAUUCUAUCACUUAAGUCAAGUUAUAGAAUUCAAUCAUUAAGGUCAAGCAAGAUUAAAAGUCAGUUAAUCAAUUGACUUGACGAAAACAAUAGAUGAAUAAAAAAAAUAAUUAAGUUCAAUGAUUUCAUCCUAAUUAAUUUUAUGAGCUUAGGCAAUGAUUCAAUCUUGAAACAAUCAUUUAAGUACAAACAUGAAACAUAUUUCAAGAAUUGUUCGUAGAUUAAGAAUUUGAACAUUUAAAUUCUCAAGACAUGAUUUUCAAUGUAAGCACAUGAGAAAUAAUAAAAUCAAGCACUUAUGAACAAUUUCUCAUUUUUCAAAAUUUCUCAUUCAUGCACAAAAGAAUUAAUAAUAUUAAUAUGAGCGCCAUGUUUUGGAAUAAAUGGAUUCAGGCAUUCAUGAAAGUUUUCCCCUUUUUCAACAAGUUUUUCAUUUUCAUGAACAGUAUUUGCACCAAAAGAUUAUGAGAGCGUUCAUAAUGCACGAUUUUGGAGACCAAGAUUGUUUUUUAAGCUGUACAGAAUCAUUUUAAUUGGUUACAAUGAAAUUUAACCGAUUAAAACUUUACUAAAUAUGAACCCAAUUUGAAAUAAAACUAUUUUAAUCAAUUAAAGUAAACUUUGAUUGCAUAAAAUGUUACUGACUUCUUACACUUUUUUCACGCAGGCACAUUUUAAUCAGUUAAAAGACUUUUUAAUGAAUUAAAACAAACAAAAUUCUAUUUCAAAAUCAUUUUAAUCAAUUAAAACAUAAUUUUAAUCAGUUAAAAUAUUACUAUAAGAACUUAAAAUCACUUUUAAUUGAUAAAAACCAGAAAUUAAAGCACAAUGGCCACACAAUUUCAUCAAAAACAUAUUCAAAUCAAUUCAAUCCAAGUUCAUUCACAUAAGACAUUCCUAAUUCACUUUUAAUUUUACAAAAUUUGUCUUCACUCAAAGGUUUUGUGAAAAUAUCAACCAAUAGAUGCAAGGUAUCAACAAAUUCAAAUUUAACAUCUCCCUUAAGCACAUGAACUCUAAUAAAAUGAUGUCUAAUCUCAAUAUGCUUAAUUCUAAAGUGCUGAACAGGAUUCUUUUAGAUGUUAAUGGCACUUACAUUACAUAAAAGAUAGGAAUGUUAUGCAUGGGCAUGCCAAAGUCAUUCCAUUGUUGCUAAUCCAUAAAAUUUAUGCAAAACAACUACCUAUUGUAAUGUAUUAAGCUUCAACAGCAUGAUUGAAAUCUUGCACAUAAGCACACAUUAAACAAUAUAUUACGUUUACUUGCUGUUAAAUAAAGAAAUGAACCAAUCAUACCUUUAUAAAGCUUUUUGUCCACAUCCUUUCCUUUUCAUCUUUAUCAAGCUUUGCAGAAUGAUGUAUAGGUGUUUCAAUUGACUUUACUUUCAUCACACCAAACUUCUUCAACAUUUCCUUAGUGUAUUUUGCUUGGUUGAUGAAAAUCCCAUCUUCACAUUGCUUGAUUUGUAGACCAAGGAAGAAAUUUGUUAGUUUUAAUAGCUUGAAAAUGAUAAGAGUUUUCACAUGACAAAAAUGAUCAAAAUUCCUUGUCUAAGUGAUCCUUGAAUAACUUAAGUGAUUCUUAAAUGUUUUUCAUAUGUUUUUAUGCUUCCUUACUUGAUUAACAUUUGAAGUUGUUUUGUGAAAGGAAACAUCAAUUCUUGCAAGAUGGAAUACUUAGACAAGUUUCUGAAAGCUCAAGAAUCGAUUCCAAUAGUCAAGAAGAUGAUUUUUGCAAGUUUCGGUGUAGAAAGAACAAAUAUCUGGAAAGGAAAAAAUUGAUUCUUAGUCAAGGAGAACUAAUAUCUGGAGAGAUAAGAAUCAAUUCUCAAACAAAAAGAACUAACUUCUCAGACACAAAGAACUAACUUCUCAAGAAUAAAGAAUUUAUUCUUUGAAAGCAUAAAGCUCCAAACCAAAGAAAAACUGACAUCUUAAGAAAAAGAAUUGAUUCUCAGACUCCAAAAGUAGUCUUAGACACAAAAAGAUAAGAAAAUUGGCCAGUUUCUUCACAAAAUCAUCUUUAACAGCUAUAAACUUUUUCCAACUAUAAAAAAGACUUCUUCAUCACAUUUUGGAAGAAAGAAAAGUUGAGAAAAUAAUCAUUUGAUCAAGGAUCAAAUGAAAUGUAGAAGAAGAGGAAAAAGAGAUAAAAACCAAGCUAAAGCAAGCCCCUCAUAUUCUUUCAAAAAGCUUGUGAGCUACCUUGUGCUUCAAAUUCUUUACGCUUUCACUCACAUUUUUUGCAAUCAUUCUUUAGCUCUACCAAACUCUUCCUUCAUGCACUUACUAAGCAAAACCAACCUUCUAGAGGCAUUAUUUGCUUUGAGCUUGUAAGACAAAAAAUGUUAUGCUUGAACCUUUAAAAGGCAAUUUGGUAAAGGUUUUGCCUGAUCCUUGAAAAGGCUAAAGUUUUGCCUACUUUGUGAAAAGGUAUUGUGUGGGUUAUGCUUGCUCCUAUGAAAAGGCAAUGUUGUAAAGGUUAUACUUGAGCCUUGAAAAGGGAUUUUCAUAUUGGAUUAUAAACUCCUUGGUGAGCUAAGGGAUAGGAUAUAGGUGCCUAUAAAGAGGCUCGAACCUCUAUAAAUGAUAUGUCUUUUCUCUUAUCUCUUUACUCUUAAAUUUUUGCACUUUUUCUUUACUCUUCACUACUUCUUACUUAUGCAUUUUACUUGGCUGUGAAAAGGUUUGAACAUUUUUUUUAACUUGUUUUUUUCUCCGACUCACUUUUAACUUAAUUUGAAAUACUUAUGCUUUCUACUUUGGCUUGAAAAGUUUUGAAAAUUUGCAUUUAUCUUGAUUUAUUCGUUGAUUUACUCUUCAAGUUACUUUACUAUCAUGACCCAAAUCUAGAGGGUCCGUGACUGGUGCACGAGCUCAGCAGGCAAGCCCAUUAGACUCGAGCAAGCCUUAGAGUCCAAAAUCAUAUAACAUAAGCCGAGGGAUUUAAUAAUCAAAUAUUCACAAUAAAUUCAAACAUAAAUACAUUAUCCCUGGCACAUAGUUUAUACAAAUGGUCAAAAGGUCAUACAUUGGCCAAACAAGGUGGGUUCGUACAUAACAACCCUUACACACAAUAUAAUAUGGCACUUAGUGCCUACACACAUUAUCCACAGUGGAAGGCUUUAACCGACUCAACGAAGUGACCAAAACAGAGAACCUAUCGGAUGGCAAAAUUGAUCUGUCGUUAGACGACCUUUAACAUUCAGCUCUAAAGCUUAUUUAUUUGCACAUGGUAUACAAAUGGGUGAGUACCAUAAUACUCAAUGAGUGGUGCAGAUAAACAAAAUCAUAUAUACAUUAAACACAUAUAAGAAAUACAUGCACUAUUUGUGCAUCUAGUGUUCUAGCAAACAUCUCUGAAUAUAGGGCAUAUCAUUAUACCUAAAAUCUCCAAUGUGAGGGUAUAACAUCAUCCUCAAUGCCUCUAUAGAUCAUCACAUAUAUCCCUAGGCUUACCUUUGAAGUCGAUUAAUGUUAUUCAAAUCAUUACCACGGCACACUUUAGUUGCUGGAGUAUCACAUCAAGAUCAUGUCAUGUUCAUGUAAGCCUUUCACAGCUAUCUCUUGUCAUAUACAAAUCAACUCAAUGAGUGGUUCUCCCCUAGACAUAACAAAAUCAUGCUCGGUGGCCAAUUGGUGGAGAAUCAAAUCACGUACAGGGAAAAUCCACUAGCGAAGAAUGAAUCACGCGUGUGCCGAAGCAACGGGCGAAAAACAGAUCAUGCUCAGUGCCGAAGCAGUUAGCAAAAAGUCAAAAUCAUCGACCGAAGUAAUCCCCUAACGGUUGGCAUCAUACACUAUAGGUGGGAAUCAUAGGCGGGAUAUCAACCAUUGCCCCUACUAACCACCGUCCCUAUGGCACAAUCAUAGUCACAGGGUAUCAGACUCCAUUCAUCCAUAAAUUAGAUCAACAUCCAGAAUUCAUCCCUCGGAUAGAAACACAAGUCCACAAAUAAGGACAUCAUGCCUUUAUCAUUCACAUUUUCUCAAUAAACCACAAAUGACAUUCAUCAAGCUUCAAUCAUCUAUAAGCUUGUUAAGGUUUUGGAUGUCUCUAAGUCUCCAAGGUAUUAUUCAAUCAAAUCAUUUUAACAUAUCAAUCACUUAGGGUAAUCCACUCCUAGGGGUUCAACAUAGCCUACAAACCUCCUAGUAUAGGCUUAUGCAACAUAGGCCACCCAUAUGGCUCACGUCAAAACACACAAACACAUAAUCCACAGUUUGGUUAUGUAGCCUAGGCACUUACAUAUAGGCAAUCAUAUAUAUAUAUAUAUAUAUAUAUAUAUAUAUUGAUAUAUACACAUACACAUAAAUCAUGUGUUCUCGAGCCUAGGAAUGUUCAUCUAAGCCUACAUACAAAAUCUAGUACCAGUGCAACGCAUUUUCCAUGCGUCAUGCAUUACAUGCAUUUUAUUUAACCCACUCAUAGUGACAAUAGGAGGCACUCCUUGCCAAGCUUCGAUCUUUAGCCUCCGAUCAUCAUUUAGCUUGCCAAUGAGUUGAUUUAACUUCGUUUCCCCCUUCAAACACAUAAAAACAUCUACACAUUAAUUAUUCCUAACUUUGAAAAACUGCUAGCUUUUCACCCAAUUAACUAAAUCUUAGCAAUCCAACUAUUUAAGCUCAAAUCUUUCAUUAAUGAGCUAAACCCAUACUUUAGAAACUGGAUUGCACUAGUCUUAGCUCCAAAUUCUUCAAUCCAAGCCAAAGAAGGAAAAAUACCAAAUUUGGAGAAAAAUCAAAUUCGAAUUAAUUAACUGAUUAAAUUGAAAAAUAAUUAGUAAAAACAUUAAAUUUUACCUCUAAAAUGGUUUCCCAAUCUCUAAAUAGCUUUAAAUCCCUUAAAAAAUCCAUUUAGGGCCUUAAGGUUUUAGGUUUUUAAAGAGAGAAUGGGAGAAAAGAGCUGAGAGAAAGAAAUAGGGCAAAAUGGCCCGGCACCCCUUUUUAUUUUUGCCUUUUCUCUUUGAUGUAUCUAUACCUUUUGUCAAUGUAUCGAACAUUUGCCCUAACUUCGAACUAAUGUGUCGAUACAUUGAGGCAAUGUAUCAAUACAUUUCGAGCAGAACAGCCUUGGGUGUAUUCUACUUCAAAUGUAUCGAUACAUGUUCAUAUUUGACCAAAUCUAUCCACACAUUCUUGAAUGUAUCGAUAGAAAAUCCUUCUGGGGUCUUUAUUAUUCAUCCUGCCAUGAACGUAUUGAUACAUUUGGGGUAUGUAUCAAUACUUUCACCCCUGUAGGUAGUUCUAAGCUUCCAAAACUUCCAAAAAUCCAAGUUCAACACCCCAAACUCAUUCCUUGUUAAUAUCACAUCUCAAAUCAUUCACUUAACUUAAUCCCAUACAUAUAAAUUCAUAACGAUAACAUCAAACUUAGAUCAAAACCUCAAACUAUGGGAUUUAUCACAUGUUUCAUCAGAACUUUGCCUAAGUGUCCACAUAUACCCUCUUACAUUUGGCAUACAUAUCAUGUCAUCAAAGUCCUCAAGACUCCAUAUUUUUCAUAAAUCAUUUUUAGUCUACAUCAAAAAAAUUAGGGGUGUUACAUUUACACUUUUGAUUUAUGCACUUCACUCUAAAGAGUUUUAGAAUCUAUUUUCAACUUACUUGCUCAUUUUAUUUCCAAAUUAUUUUUAACAUGUUUUAAAGUGAGAGCAAGUUUUAAGAAUUUCCUUCUUCUCAAACGUAUUCUUUUUACUUUGAAGAAUAUUUUGAAACUCAUUACUCAUUCACUUUCACUUUUAUACUCGUGUGUUUUCACUUUAUUAUGAAGAGAUUUAAAUUUAUUAUUUUCAAAUUUGUUUUUCAAUUCAUUCUUCAAAGGAUUGACAUAUUUGUUUUUAAACUUAUUCUUUUACUCGCUUUUCAAAUCCUUUUUGAUAUGUUUGCAUAUUUUAUUUUAAAAAGUUCUAAAAUUUUGUUUUCAACUUGUUUGUUCAUUUCUUGUGAUUUGUUUCAAAAAGAAAACAAUUUUGAAAAAACUUGUCAUCAAGCUUCAAAGUUCAAAUUGUUGGAAAGAAUUUUUUUGGAAAUCCAAGUCACCCCUCAUCGUGGAUAUUUUCCUCAUUAUUAUUGAGCUAACACAUUCCUAAAAAAAUUUAAUUCUCCCAUCAUACUCAUUUUAAAUUCAUCCUGCAUUUCUUUAACACAAUUCUCACAAAAUUUUUCAUUAGUAGCACCAAACACUCUGUCAUCCACAUAAAUUUAAACAAUAAGUAUAACAUUUUUGUCAUUUCUAAUGCAAAAAGUAGUAUUUACACUCUCCCUAGAAAAUCCCUUUUUUAUAAAAAAUUUUGAAAAUAUUUUAUACCCAGCUCUAGGACCCUGCUUUAAUCCAUAUAAAGCUUUAUGCAAUUUAUAAACAUGAUCAAUCUUUUCAAAAUCUUCAAAACCAGGAGGUUGUUCAAAAUAAACUUCUUCUUGAAUAAAACCAUUUAGAAAUGCAUUUUUAACAUUCAUUUCUAAUAAUUUGAAAUUCCUAUAACAUGCAUAUGCAAGCAAGAGUAUAAUUGCUUCAUAUCUCACUAUGGAAGAAAAAAUUUCAUUGUAAUCAAUACUUUCCUCUUGAUUAUAGCCUUGAGCAACUAACCUUGCUUUGUUCCAAGUACCCACUUGGUACCAAUGUUACGAUGGUUGGUUGGCCUUGGAAGUAAGGUCCAACCCUUGUUCUUUUCAAAGUGGCCAAGAUUUUCUUGCAAUGCAAUCAUCCAACUUUCUUCCUUUUUACCUUCUUCAAAGUUCUUAGGUUCUACUAGUGAAAUGAGUGUCACACAUUCACAAGUUUUCCUUAGUCUUCUUUCAGAAUUGACAUCUUUCAAGGGAUCUCUAAUGAUUUGCUCUUGAGGAUGAUUUCUUAUAGAUCUCUAGCUUCUAGAAAGAUCAUUAUGUUGAUUUUCAAUGCUUUGCAAAUCCUUUAGUGGUGGUUCUUCUUCAUUUCUUUCCUUGGAGCUAUCUUCAUUAUCUUCUUUGUUCUCCAAGCUCAUUCUUUUCAUUCUUUUCUCAAUUUCAUCUGCAUCAUCAUCAUCAUCAAGCACUACCUUUCUUGGUGCGGCAUUAGUGUCAUAAGAACAAUAUGAAUGGACUCUUCUAUAACAAAAGAUCUUUUAUUAAACACUCGGUAGGUGUUAACCUUAAGUUAUAUCAUGUUUUGAUUUCACAAAAAUCACAUGUUUUCUUGAACCUAAUGUCAAGCAUUUGAAAUUGUCUUAAAUACAUUGUUAAUCCCGUAAGGUUACAUAUUUGUUGGAAAGCCAUGCAUCUUUAGAAAAAACCUUAUAAUAUUUCAAACAAUGCAUUUUCAGCUAAGAAAUCAAGAGCAAACAUGCCUUGAAAUGUUUAUUUUAAUAUAGAUAUAAGGCAGAAAGGAAGUAAUUAGAGAGAAAUAUAAAAAAGCUAAGGAAACCUCAAGACACAAGCCAAGAGUCGAUCUUAGAGAAGCUCAAGUCAAUCUAAAGGCUAAAAGAAUGGAAAACAUGAAGAUUACACAGCCACACUCAACUACAGAGGAAGCCUAGUCGACCUUGAUAAGCCAAAAGCAAGAAAAACUCAAGAUUACAUAGCCAUAGUCGAUUAUAGAAAAGGUAUAGUCAACCUCAACAAGUCAAAGGCUAAAGAAAGUCAACUUUAAACAAAUAUAGUUGACUAUAAGAGAUGCAUUGUCGACUUUAAAAGGCCAGAUUUGAAAAAUAAAGGCUAUCGAGAAAUUGAUCGACUAGAGGAAGAUUAUACUCGACUAUGGAAACCCUAAUUGAGAAAUUUGAUGAAUGUAGUUGACUUUAAGAGCAUUAUAGCAGAUCUUCAAGCUUCAGCAACGACCAAAUUUGAUUCAAACUUAUGUUUAAUAGCUUUAAAACUUGCCCUAGCUAUAAAUAGAUGCAUUUAAGCCAUUUUGAAGUAGAGAAGAUCUGAACCAAAGCUUCAAACCCUAGAGAGACUACUUACAAGCUCAUCUUCACUCUUUAGCAUCUCUUUAGUCUUCCAUCAAGCUUUCUGUCAUGACCCAAAUUUUGGGCCAUGACCGGUGCGUGGGCCUAAUGGACGUAGUCCACUAAGCCCAAGCAAGCCUAUUAAUUUGACAUGUUCAUCAUUCCAUCAUAAACUGCUAAGUCAUAUAUCAUAACUUAGAAUCAAAAUAAUAUUAAGCAUUGCCACUUCAUACUGGCAUACCAAACAAGUGUAUAUACACUGUCUACACUUGUAUCUUAAUAAUUCACAUUAGGUUCGUCUAUACAUAACAAAAGGAGACUCGAUGUCCAGCGGAGAGACUCAAAUGAAUGUACAGCUACUGAAUGCCGAGACACCUACUAGAAGAUGGAUACAAGUCCACGAGGACACCUCGUCCUAGUUACCGAUUAUCUCUUAAUCUAAAAAUAUGAAGUUGAAAGCGGUGAGCAUAAACUCAGUGAGUGAACAAGAAGGGAACAAGCAUACCAUAAGGAAUGUUUAUCGAAAUCAUGAUGCACUCAUUUUCUUAAAAUAAUGCAAUUUGUUCUAGUUCUUAGUAGAACCUCUCAUGUAAACCCCUCAUGAGUAAAUCACUUAAAAGAUCCAUACUCAACUAUGUACCAAAGAAUCGGAAAAUAUAGCAAAACCCACAAGUUAGCCAAAAUGGACAGAAAGUUUCUCGCUACAGCGAACUUCAUUCUCGCUGCAGCGAGAACCAGGUCUGGUGAAGGCCCUCAAACUCGAGAGUUUCUCGUUGCAGCGAGAGUCAAAACAUCAAGGAAAAAGUCUCAUUUUCCUUUAAAACAAGCCAUCUUGUAAAAUAACAAUAGCAACAUGUAACACAUGUAAACUCCCAAAUUUUAACAAAAUCAAAUGCUCACAUAUUUUCAUUUACAACCAUAUACCAUAUAUGUAUAUAUAUAUAUAUAUCAAUCAUCAUAUACACCCUCCCAUCAUCAUCAUCUCAUAUGCAAUGGCUUAUGCAUACUCCCACUCGCAUAUAGCCGAGUCAGCAACGGCUUAUGUGUACUCCCACUCACACAUAACCGGGUCAGCAACGGCUUAUGUGCACUCCUAUUCGCACAUAGCCAGAUCAGCAACGGCUUAUGUGCACUCCUAGUGGCACAUAGCCAGGUCCACAUCAACAUGCAAAGAAGCAUCCAAUGCAUAUCAUGCAUUUUAUCAUAUUGUGAUAACACAUAAACCAUUGUAUAGCACAUUUUCAUAAUAUAAAAUCAUUUUACUAAAAGCUUGUUCCCAAAGUACAUAUUCUGAGACAAGUUGGAUAGAAUCUUUCAUAUUCCCCAAAAGAAGUUUGAAAUGCAAGUCCACUCACCGGUAUUCGUUGAGCCUUAGCCGAUUCUUAAUCCCCCUAAUUAUCCAAUUGGGGUGAUGAGGCUUCGUUAGCACCUACCAUCAAAUUAACAUUUCCAUAAUGUCAAUUUACAUACUAUAACCCUAAAAGCUAUCUUUUAGCUAGCUUUCAAUUGCCAUUUAAGUGGCCAUCCAUUUUCACUUUCCUAUCACUCCAAAGUGAAUUAAAAAUCUCAACUACAAAAUAUUCACAAAUCAAAUCUCUAGUCAUUCUCAACACUUAAAACCCAAUACUAGUUUACUACUUACCUUGAUAGCUUUGUAACUUUGAACUUCUUUCCAAAAGCUCUCAAGCUAUUAAUAAAUAUUCCUCUUUCUCUUUCUAAAACACCUAACUAGUGAGAGAGUAUGAAAACAAGAUUUUCAUCACUUUCAAGGGUUUUAAAGUGGGAAAGUGGAAGAAUACAAGGGUUCUAGUCAAAAGGGCACCAAGGUAUGAAAAUUAAAGUUAGAAAGAGAAAGUUAUGAAAGCUUCACAUCAAGCUUCCAUGGAGGAAUUGACGAAAUGUGAGAGGGAAGAGAACAAGAAGAAGAAGCUACUGGAAAUCUUAAGAAGUUGCUAGAAGGAGAGCAUAUUUAUUUCCCAAGCUUAUCCACUCCCUUAGAAAUUACUAAAAUGCCCUUCCACAAAUUAGCUUAAUCCUCGAAAUCCCACACUUUUUCUUCAAUUUUCCCACCUAGGGUUUGUGUUCCUUCCUUUCCUCUUCACUUCAUGCUUUGGCCGGCCAUAUGAGUGAGAUUAAGAGAGUUUUAAAUAGAUUUUACAAGGAUAUUCUAGAAUAAUCCAAGCUUGACACAUGGCAUGUUUCCAUUGGUUCAUGUGUAAUACUUAUCCAUUAAGCAAUCUCUCUACACCACAUAAAAUGUUUCAAUUAUCCACAAUGUAAAAUGUUAAUGGCUGAAAUCCAUGGGCAUGACAAGUGUCAGGUGGUGUAAAAUUCCAAAAUUCCAACUUUGCCCUCGUAAACUCAUAAAAUUAUCGUUUUGCCCCUAGGACUCAAAAAUGUUAGAAUUUAAAUUUUUCACCUCUCAAACUCAAAUCAUACUCCAAUGAGUCAAAUGUGAUCAAAAUCUUUUUCUAAAAAUUCCCAUUUUGUCCUCGAGUGACAAAAUUACCAUUUUGCCUUUAGAACAUGAAAAUCAUCAAAAUUUUUAUUUCCUUGUCAUUUCACCCAUAUUUUCAUCAUUCAUUUAUACUUUAGGCCUACUUAAGCCAUAAUAUUGUUUAAAACUUACUUUUAUGGGCUUAAUUGAGAAAAUGAUAAAAUUACCCUUGAUUAGGGAUAUCGCGUAUAUUUCUAUCUACGAGUCUAUAAAGGUCAAGGUCUCACACUUUCAAAGUUGAAUCUUUACUUCAAUCAAGCUAAAAUUUCUUCUUUCACUAUACCUAAGCUAAAAUCUCUAGCAUCUAGCCUUUAUGAGGAAAAUCUAUGCUAUUACUCCUUUUUACAUACAUUUUGUAAAGGUUUUAGCUUAACCUUGAAAAGCUAUCUUAUAAGGGUUAUUGCUUUCAAUUUAAAAAAAAAGAAUCUUCUAUGGAUUGUGUGAUUUAUCGCUUCAUCUUGUGAAAAAGCAAGAAUACCUUUGUGGAUUCUGUAAGGGUUAUCGCUUGAUCCCGUAAAAAGUGGUUGUAAGAGUUAUCGCUUGAUUUGGUGAAAAAGCAAGAAUCCCUUUUAUGGAUUAUGUAAGGGUUAUUGCCUCUUAAUAAAAAGUAAGAAUCCUUGAUAAUUGAUUGAAAUUUCUCGGUUAAAGAGGGAAUAGAUAUAGGAAUCGAAAAAGCAGAACCGCUAUAAAUCAUUUAUGUCUUUCUUUAGUUUUCACAUUAUUAUUUAUUCUUUAUACUUUCUUUACGAAAAUGGAUUUAUAUCGAUUUAUUGUUUUUCUCUUAGGAAAAUAUUUUUCCUUUUCUUUUCAUAGCUAGCAUUUAUUUCAAGAAAAAUAUUUUACCUUGAUUCAUUAUUUUUAUACUUAAUGAUUUACUGUUCAAAAUUUGUUUUUGAUAUUAGAAAAUAUUUUUGGGUGAAAAAGGUUUGAUUUUUUAUACUUAGAUUUUCAAAGAAAUUUUUAAUAUUUCAAUUCACCACCUCUUAAUAUAUUGUUCAUUAAAACUUCUACAAUAACAAUUAGUAUCAGAGCUUGGUCUUAAAUUUGUAGGUCUAACCAUAUUUGAGAGAACCUUUGUAGAAGAUUAAUUUGAAAAAAAUGGAGGUUAUGGCAACCAUGCUUGGUGAAGGGCAAUCGAUCCAAAGACCACCUCUCUUUGUAGGUAAUAAUUAUCCUUAUUGGAAAAAGAUAAUUGAAAUGUUUAUUCAAUAUAUGGAUUUGGAUGUGUGAAAUGUGAUAUUAGAGGCCCUAAUGUUCCAUAUAAGUUAAUAGAAAGAAAAUUAGUGAUUAAACCUAGAGAUAAAUGGAGUGAUAGAGAUAAGAAAUUAGUUCAAACAAAUUGUAAGGCAUAUAAUAUUCUUCUUUGUGCCUUGAGUGUUAAAGAAUAUAAUAGAGUCUCUAUGUGUGAAAAUGCCAACCAAAUUUGGGAUACUUUAGAGACCACAUGUGAAGGAACUAACCAAGUUAAGGAAUCCAAAAUUGGGUUGCUUAUCCAUGAUUAUGAACUUUUUAAGAUGAGAGAGAGUGAAUCAAUAAGUGAGAUGUUUGAAAUGUUCACCAAAAUUAUAGAAAGUUUGAAAGCUUAAGGGAAAGACUUCUCAAAUGCCCAAUUUGUGAAGAAAAUUCUUUAUAGCCUACCUAAAUCUUGAUGACCCAAAGUAACAACUAUAGAAGAAGCUAGGAACCUUAACAACUUUAAGUUAGAAGAGUUUAUAGGAUCCUUACUUACUUAUGAAAUGACAAUUAAGCAUGAAAAUGAGAGAGAGGAACCUAGGAAAGAAAAGGUCAAACAAAAGAAAGUUGCUUUUAAAUCCAUAGAUUAAAAAGAGGAAAGAGUCAUAAAAAUUCAUAAUGAGAGUGAGGAACACAUAGCUAUGCUAGCUAGAAAAUUCAAUAAGUUCAUAAUAAAAAACUAUAGAAAUAGAAAACCUAUAAAGAGAAAAGUGUCUAAAGUGAAGCAUUCAAAUGAUCAUUUGACAUGCCAUGAUUACAAAAAGCCGAAAGACACCAAAUAUGAGUACCCAAGCAAGAAAAAAGUCUCAAGAGUUUCCAAAAAGAAGGUGAUGAUUGUAACCUCAAUUGAUGAUGAUGAUUCUCAAGAUUAUGAGGUUACAAACUCUUGUCUCAUGACAUUUGAUGGCUACAAGGAAGGACAUGAAUGUUUAACGUCAGUAGCACAACAAAAUGGAAAAUGGUACCUUGAUAGUGGAAGCUCUAAACACAUGACCAGUAGUAAGGAAUCCUUCAAAGAAUUGAGGCCAAAGAAGGGAGGUAAUUUAACUUUUUGUGAUGACUCAAAAGGUCACAUUGAAGGUAUUGGUACAAUUGGUAAGAAUUCUUCAUCUCAAAUUGAAAAUGUUUUAUUUGUUAGUGGACUUAAGCAUAAUUUAUUAAGUGUUAGUCAACUUUGUGACAAAGGUCUUAAGGUCAUUUUUCAAUCUUUAAUUUGUCAUGUUAUAGAUGCUAAGAAAAUAAAGUUAUUUUUGUUGCUUAAAGACAAAGAUAUACAUAUGUUGUUUAUCUUGAUGAGUUGUCUUCAAACAACGUAUGCUUCAUGAGUAGGAGAAAUAAGAAUGCUUGGUUGUGGCAUAGGAAACUAGGACAUAUUAGUAUGAACGCAGUUGCAAAAUUGUCAUCCUUAUAUCUUGUAGUAGAACUUUCGAAGCUAAAAUUUGAGAACAACAAACUUUGUGAUGCUUGUGCCAAAUGUAAACAUAGGAGAAUUUCUCUUAAAUCCAAAAAGAAUGUGACCACAAUUAGGGCAUUGCAACUUCUUUAUAUAUAUUUGUUUGGCCCAACUAGGACUAUAAGCUUAAGUGGAUAAAACUAUGGAUUAGUGAUUGUUGCUUAUUACACUAGGUUUUCAUAUGUUUAUUUUAUUGGGCAUAAAGAUAAGGUCCUAAAAACAUUUACAUCAUUUUGCAAGAGAGCUGAAAACGAAAUGGGGUAUGCUAUUUCAAACAUUAGAAGUGACCAUGGCAAAGAAUUUGAAAACUUAGGUUUUGAUCAAUUAUGUGAAGAAAAUGGUUAUGGUCAUAAUUUUUCAGCCUUUAGGACCCCAUAACAAAAUGGUGUAGUAAAAAAGAAGAAAAGAACUUUAGAAGAAAUGCCUAGGACUAUAUUGUGUGACAAUAAUUUACCAGGAUAUCUAUCACAGCCCAAUUUCCAAGCCAUGACCCGCAAGGGCCCAAUAGGCUCAACGCACUAAGCCCAAGCAAGCCUAUUUAUAUAAUCUUAUACAUUAAUCCAUAUUUCUUUAAAAUCCAAAAUUUCAUAGUGUUCAAAUGUAGUUCCUUUCGAAACAAUUCAUAAAACCCAACUAUUCAUUCAGAAUGGCAUCAUCAACCAUAAUAUACAUAUAUAGUUUGACAAAUGAAUCUCAGCAUUUCACAACAGGUAUUCAUAUAAAUGUAAUUAGACCUUGACCGUCAGCGGAGUGACUUUGGGCACGAUUGCUAACACUUAGUGCCACGUUAAACCUACCGAGCAAUGGAUAAAGAAGAACACCUCGUCCUAGGAUCCAAUCACCUUUGACUCAGAAAACCUAAAACAUGAAGAUUAAAAACGUGAGUAUAAACUCAGUGAGUGAACAUAAGAAGGGAACAAGCAACGUUAAGGAAGGUUUAGAAAUCAUGAUGCACUUAAGUUCAAAAACAAUGCAAUUUAGUUCAUUUCUUAUUAAAAACCCCUCAUUCAAACCCUUAGUUGUUUAGUCACUUGAUGACGAAAGACCCAUGAACAACAAAAUAGUUGAAAAGUGAAAACUUUAGUAGAAUUCAAGCAAGUCAAGCAUAAUAGAUUGACUCUCACCGCAGCGAAAAGGCAUUAUCACUGCAACAAAAUUCUGGCUAGAUAAAAUCUAAGGGGUUUUCACUACCACAAGGAAAAUCCACUCAUGCCACAUGGCACAUUAAAUUAAACACAUUGACAAUACUCAAGUUUCCUCAAUAUUUAGUGUAAUCACGUAUUAUUUUCAUAACCUUUUCAUAACAUUUGCAAAUAAUUUCAUAGCACAUAUAAUCAUCUCUAUGGCAUAUAUAUAUAUACAAACAUGCAUACGCGAACGGUCCUCAGCUCAUGUGCCCUCCCCCACCGCACAUAGCUGGGUCUAGACCAACGCCAAUCAUCAGCUCAUGUGCACCCCCACAUCUGUACAUGGCUGGAAUCCCCCACCGGUCCUCAGCUCAUGUUCACCCCCACAUCCACACAUAGCUGGAAUCACCAUCAUUAUAGGUAUGUGCCCUUCCCCACCGCACAUACUCGGUUAUAAUCACCACGCAAUAUUACUUAUCCAUACAUAUCAUAUAUCCAUAUAUAUAUGCAUCAACAUGACAUAGAUGCACAUGGAUUUAUCAUAUCGCACAUUUCACAACAUAAAAUGUUUUAUCAAGGGCUUGUUCCCAAGCAUUUUUUUUAGCAAAAACAAAUAAAAUUUUUAAAUGAUUCAUUAAAACAAGUAAACAUUUCCCUGAAACAUUUUGAAAUGCAAGUUCACUCACCUUACUAUCACGACCCAAAUUUUCAAGCCAUGACCGGCACAAGGGCCCAAUAAACGUAGUCUAUUAAGCCCAAGGAAGCCUAUCGAUUUAUCCUACUCAUCAUUCCAUCAAAUAUCGCUACGUCAUAUUUCAUACUUUUGAAUCAAAAUAGUGAUAUACAUUGCCAACUCGUACUGGCAUUACUCCUUAAAAAUUUACAUACAAUGUCUACAACAUGUAUUCUAAUAAUUUACAUUAAGUUUGUCUAUACAAAACAAAAUAACACUCGACUUNNNNNNNNNNNNNNNNNNNNNNNNNNNNNNNNNNNNNNNNNNNNNNNNNNNNNNNNNNNNNNNNNNNNNNNNNNNNNNNNNNNNNNNNNNNNNNNNNNNNNNNNNNNNNNNNNNNNNNNNNNNNNNNNNNNNNNNNNNNNNNNNNNNNNNNNNNNNNNNNNNNNNNNNNNNNNNNNNNNNNNNNNNNNNNNNNNNNNNNNNNNNNNNNNNNNNNNNNNNNNNNNNNNNNNNNNNNNNNNNNNNNNNNNNNNNNNNNNNNNNNNNNNNNNNNNNNNNNNNNNNNNNNNNNNNNNNNNNNNNNNNNNNNNNNNNNNNNNNNNNNNNNNNNNNNNNNNNNNNNNNNNNNNNNNNNNNNNNNNNNNNNNNNNNNNNNNNNNNNNNNNNNNNNNNNNNNNNNNNNNNNNNNNNNNNNNNNNNNNNNNNNNNNNNNNNNNNNNNNNNNNNNNNNNNNNNNNNNNNNNNNNNNNNNNNNNNNNNNNNNNNNNNNNNNNNNNNNNNNNNNNNNNNNNNNNNNNNNNNNNNNNNNNNNNNNNNNNNNNNNNNNNNNNNNNNNNNNNNNNNNNNNNNNNNNNNNNNNNNNNNNNNNNNNNNNNNNNNNNNNNNNNNNNNNNNNNNNNNNNNNNNNNNNNNNNNNNNNNNNNNNNNNNNNNNNNNNNNNNNNNNNNNNNNNNNNNNNNNNNNNNNNNNNNNNNNNNNNNNNNNNNNNNNNNNNNNNNNNNNNNNNNNNNNNNNNNNNNNNNNNNNNNNNNNNNNNNNNNNNNNNNNNNNNNNNNNNNNNNNNNNNNNNNNNNNNNNNNNNNNNNNNNNNNNNNNNNNNNNNNNNNNNNNNNNNNNNNNNNNNNNNNNNNNNNNNNNNNNNNNNNNNNNNNNNNNNNNNNNNNNNNNNNNNNNNNNNNNNNNNNNNNNNNNNNNNNNNNNNNNNNNNNNNNNNNNNNNNNNNNNNNNNNNNNNNNNNNNNNNNNNNNNNNNNNNNNNNNNNNNNNNNNNNNNNNNNNNNNNNNNNNNNNNNNNNNNNNNNNNNNNNNNNNNNNNNNNNNNNNNNNNNNNNNNNNNNNNNNNNNNNNNNNNNNNNNNNNNNNNNNNNNNNNNNNNNNNNNNNNNNNNNNNNNNNNNNNNNNNNNNNNNNNNNNNNNNNNNNNNNNNNNNNNNNNNNNNNNNNNNNNNNNNNNNNNNNNNNNNNNNNNNNNNNNNNNNNNCACAUAGCCGAGUCAAUAUAAUUACACAACAUUAUAUUCAAGCAUAUAUGUAUAUCAACAUAAUGCAGCCACAUAGAAAUCCAUAAUAACCACAUAUCAUAACAUAAAUCAUUUCUCAAGAGCUUGUUCCCAAGGAAUUCAUUUUCAUGAAAAAUCAUAUAAAAUCAUUUAAACAUUUGUCAAAUACAUUAUAUUCUCAAAAUAAGUUUUGAAGGCAGUCCACUCACCAAUUGAUUGUAAAGCCUUUAGAUGACUCCAAUUUCCCUAAUUGUCCAAUUGAGAUGUGGGGCUUCCUUAAAACCUAGGAUCACAUUAACAUAAACAAUAGAUCAAUUUACACACUAUGACCUCUAAAAGCUAUCUCUUAGCUAGUUUUCAAUUGCCACAUUAAACGGCUAUCUAUGUUCACUAUCUUAAUCACUAAAAAGUAAUGAACAUAGUCAACAAUAAAACAGCUCAUAAAUCCUAAUUACUAGCCAUUUUCUGCAGCUAAAAAUCGAGCUUAGUUCAUCACUUACCCUAGGGCUCCUUUAUAGUCAAAUUUUCUUCCAAUUGCUUCCAAAUCAAUGGAAUAAUUCUCUCUUUCUCUCUCUAGAACGCCCAACUAGUGAGAAAAAGUCUAGAAAUAAGCUUUAUCAAGGGUUUUGAAGUGAGAGGAUGAAAGAAUUCAAAGGUUCUAGUCAAAAGGGUUUAAAGGUGUGAAAAUUAGAGCUAGAGAGAGAAAAUCAUUCAAGCUUCAAAUCAAGCUUUCAUGGAGUUUUGAAGAAACGUGAGAGAGGAGAAGAAGAAGAAGACCAGCUGCUAGAAAAUCUCUAGAAGCUGUUGGAAAUUCAAGAUAUUUAUAGGCAAUCUUAUCCUUUCCCUUAAAAUUAUAAAAAUGCCCCUCCACCAAUUAACUUAUUCUCCUCCAAUCUUUUACGCAAACUUUUUGCUCUUUUAACACUGGGACAAGAUCCAUAAUGGUCUAGACAUGUUCGGGUCCAUAAAAACUUCAAAUUUUAACCUGAGGUGAAAAAUGACCAUUUUACCCCUGUUAUGAAAAUUGUUGAAUCUUCUAGUUUUCUUCAUGUUUUCAUCAGUACACAUCAUUUAUGCAGUGUCUUAUACCCAUUUAAGCCUUAAAAUAUCAUAAAACUUUCUUCUGGAAGCUUAUUAGAGAAAAUGAUGAAACUACCCCUGGCUCGUAUUAUUACAUCUAUACUUAGUUACAAGCCUUAGAGGUUGAGGUCUCACACUUACGAUAGCGGGAUAUUAUAUCGCUAUUUGUUCGAAGGUCUAUCUAGCUAUUCCUAUUUUUCGGUCACUCGUUAUUUCCCCUAACACACCACCACAGUACUCUAACUUUACCUUUGCACUUCCUAGCAACAAUACAAACUUAAUAUAUUUAAUUACAUACGUGUACGGGCAGCACUUCAAUCAAUUAAUCCUUAAUCUAAUUUCAUAUUUUUCAUCCUCGUCCUUCAUAAUAAUUUAACAUGCAAUCCACAUACAUGCAUCUAUUUUUUUCAAAUCUUAGGAUACCUUUGCUGCCUUAAAUAAUUUAAUAAAAGGUUCAACCGAUUGAGUCAAAUAAAAUGACCAUAUUUAUAAUUUCUUACCUUUUAAAUAAAACUCCCAGCUCCUUAACUCUAUUGUGGAUACUUAACUCUCCAGCGACCACUUUCCAUAAGCUUGGGUUGAAAAAGAAACGAACACGUAAGAAUCUUUUCCAAAUUGAGUUUACUAUUUACUACACAAUCAAGACAACGAUAUUCAACUGUUUAUUUUUAACUAUAAUAACUUAAAACUAAAACUCUUACCUUCACCAUGAAUUUCCUAAUUCCAAUAUCAAUGCUAAAGAGCUCAAAUCUCUUGGGAGAAAGCUUUAAAUAUAUGGGGUUUUUAAGGAAAAGGAUGAUAGAUCUAUUUUUCCUAAAAAAUGGUGGAAUACCCAACGUUGGUUGGUUGCUUGUUUCCAUUCCUUCCUUCUUGAAUCGAGUUCUUUGUGGAGGAUUUUGAGAAGCUCGGGUUUUUCACUUGGAAGGGAAAAAGAAUUAGAAAAAGUCUCGCAAAAGAAAUAUUUCCCUUCCUUCCCGUGAAUACCAAUGAAGUCAAGAUAGUCAUGGACUUUUUGCAUGCCAAGUGGCAACCAAUAUGGGCUGUUGGUAAUCCUUAUGAGCCAAGUGGCAGCCAAUACGGGCUACUGGUAGUGAGACCUUGACCUUUAUAGACUCGUAAAGGGAAGUAUACGUGACAUCCCAAAUCAGGGGUAAUUUCAUCAUUUCCUUAGUAAGCCCAUAAAAGUAAGAUUUUUAAACAAUAUUAUGGCCUAAGUAGGCCUAAGGCAUAAAUGGAUGGUGAAAUUAGGGGUAAAAUGGAAAGGAAACCAAAAUUUUCAUGAUUUUCACGGUAGAGGCAAAAUGGUCAUUUUUCACCUAGGGUUAAAAUUUUAAGUUUUCAUAAACCUGAGCAUGUCUAGACCAUUAUGGACCUUGUCCUAGUGUCAAAAGAGCAAAAAGAUUGCAUAAACGAUUAGAGGAGAAUAAGCUAAUUUGUGGAGUGGUAAUUUAGUAAUUUCAAGGGAAUAGAUAAAUAUGAGCUAUAAAUAUCUUGUUUCCAACAACUUCUUCUCCCAUUUUCCAGCACCUUUUUCUUCUUCUUCCUUCUUCUCUUUCACGUUGCUUCCAACCUCCAUGGAAGCUUGAUAUGGAGCUUGCAUAAUUUUUUCUCUCUAGCUCUAGUUUUCAUACCUUUGUGCCCUUUUGACUAGAACCCUUGUAUUCUUCCAUUCUCUCACUUCAAAACCCUUGAUAAAUCUUAUUCCCAUCUUUCUCUCACUAGUUGGGCAUUCUAGAGAGAGAAAGAGAGAAUUACCCCAUUUAUUUGGAAGCUAUUGGAAGAGAAUUCGACUACAAAGGAACCUAGGGUGAGUGAUGAACUAAGCUGGAUUUUUAGCUAUGAAUAAUGGCUAGUAAUUGGGAUUAUGAGCUGUUUUAUUGUUGAGUAUGUUCAUUCCUUUUAUAGUGAUUAAGAUAGUGAACAUAGAUAGCCACUUAAUGUGGCAAUUGAAAGCUAGCUAAGAGAUAGCUUUUAGGGUUUAUAGUGUGUGAAUUGACCUAUUGUUUAUGCUAAUGUGAUUCUAGGUUCUAACGAAGCCUUAUCAUCCUAAUUGGAUCAUUAGGGGAAUUAGAGUCAGUUAAAGGCUCAACAAUAUACCGAUGAGUGAACAGUAUUCAAAACUUGUUUUGGGGAUAUAAUGUAUUUGCCAAACAUUUGAAUGGAUUAUCUAGCUUUUCAGAAAAACAAGUGCCUUGGGAACAAGCCUUUGAUAAAUCAAUUUUAUGUUAUGACAUGUGGUUAUCAUGGAUCUCUAUGCUGCUGCAUUAUGUUGAUAUACAUAUAUGUUUGAAUAUAGUGUUGUGUAAUUAUAUUGACUCGGCUAUGUGCGAGUAGGGAGUGCGCAUAACCCGGUGAUGACCCAGCCAUGUGCGAGUAGCAAGUGUGCAUGAGCUGGUGAUGAUGAUGAUGUGAUGGUGUGCAUGAUGAUGAUGGGUAUACGUAUACAUAUAUACAUAUGUAAAUAUGUGUGUUAUAGGAAAUUAAUGAGUAAUGGUAUAUGGUUGUAAUGCAUGUGAAACUUGACAUGUUAAACUUUGGAAAUCUAUUAUGCGUUUCAUGUUGGUUUGGACAUUUCAGCAAGGUGAUUUUUCUUUGGGAAGAAUGGGAAAUUUUUCAUUGGUGCCCUGUUUCUCACUGCAGUGAGAAUCAUUUUCGCUGCAGCCAGAAACUCUCGGGUUUGGAGGGGUUGACUGGCCGAAAACUCGCUACAGUGAGAAUGCAUUUUCGCUGUAGCGAGAAUGACACUGUAGUUUCUCGCUACAGCGAAAUUCAUUCUAGUUACAGCGAGAAACUUUCUGUUUCUAGGUCACAAUUUCGCUGCAGCGAGAUUCAAUUUCGCUGCAGCGAGAUUCAGCGAAAAACUUUCUAUUUUGUCUUCUAUCUUGUCUAAUUGCUACCCUAUUUUUCACUUCUUUGCUACCAUAUAUGAGCAUGGACUUCUAACAUUAAAGACUAAAUGAGUUAAGUUUAAAAUGAGGAGGUUUAGUGAGAAACCCUUAUUCGGCUAAUAACUUAAUCCCAACGUCGCUGCAGCGAAGAUUCGUUGUCGUAUUUGACUUGCUUGCGUAUCAUUGAAGCUUUCAUUCUUCAAAUGAUUCGUUAUGUAUGGGUUCAUGAUUUUCAAAUGAUUAAUCAUUUAAGGGCUUGAUGAGGGGUUUUUAAUAUGAAUGGAACUAAAUUGCAUUGUUUUGAAACAAGUGCAACAUGAUUUUAAAUUCUCCCUUGUUGUUGCUUGUUCCCUUCCUUGUUCACUCACUGGGUUUAUACUCACCAUUUUCAACUUCAUGUUUUCAGAUCACGAGGCAGCCGGUAACUAGGGCGAGGUGUCCUUGUAGACUUGUAUCCAUGUUUUGGUAGGUGUCUCGACAUUCAAUAGUUGUACAUUCGUUCGAGUCCCUCCGCUGGAAGUCGAGUAUUCUUUUAUUGUGUAUAGACAAACUUAAUGUAGACUAUUAAGAUACAUAUUGUAGACAAUGUAUAUAUACUUGUUUGGUAUGCCAGUAUGAGUUGGCAAAAGUUUAAUAUUAUUUUGACCCUAAGUUAUGAAAUGUGACUUAGGAGUUUAUGAUGGAAUGAUGAACAUGUCAGAUUUAUAGGCUUGCUUCGGCUUAGUGCCUUAAUCCAUUGGGCCCAUGCGCUAGUCAUGGCCAAGAAUUUGGGUCGUGACACUGGUAAUUCCCAAGAAGCAUGAAAAAAAAUGCAACCUUUUUCAUGAAAAAAAAAAUGUUGUUGGUUCCUAGGUGGUUUAAAUAAAAUAUUAACCUUUGUACGCAAUUUCUCUUCUUUUGACUUUUCCUUCAUCUUUAUCUUUUCUUUUCCCCUCAUUUUCUUUGUCAUGGACGGCUUGUCCAUGAAUUCAUGACUUUUGAGUUAUCUUCUCCACCCAUUUUAUGUGUUAAAAUCACAUGACAGAGGCUUUAUCACCUUCCACCCACCACUCACAUUUUUAUUCUUUAUAUUAUUUUUACUUUAUGGUUUAUUUAUUCAUUCCUUGUCCCAUUCAAACUAUAUGUACAUCUCAUAUUACUCAUAACCUAGCCUUCCUUAAUUAGGAAAUUCCCUUUUUUAACUUCAAAUAUCAAAAUUGCAAAUGAGUCUUUAAACUUUUUCGUAUUUACCAUGUGACUACUCCAACUUCCAUAUUUUACAAUUGGUUCCUUCCAAAAUUUCUUAGACUCCAAUUUCCUUCUAUUACCUUUUUCUAUACAUGUACAAAUGAAGUAUAAAGUUUGUACUCUAACGUGGUGUCUCCAUAAUAUUUAAAAUAUUUAUUUACCAUUCUAUCUUUACUUAAUAAAGACACGCGGCCCCAAUAACGUCAUUUUUCUCCAAAAUUUUCUCAUUCUUCUUUUUCCCCAUUUAGAUUGACCAUAUACUCCUUCUUCAUGGAAAAUUUGGACACUGAAUAAAAUAUUAAUAUUUUAAUAUUUUUUUUAAUAAAAUAUUAUUUAUUUCAAAAAUUUUCUGUUGCCUCUUCUCAUCUCCUUGGUACCCAAAAUACCUUAUUAUGCCUCAAUUCACUUUCGAAUCCCUUUUUAUCUCGUAAAUUCUUCCUCAAUAAAAAUAUUAUUAUUUUAUUAUUGUUUCUUCACGUGCAGAAUCUUUUAUCCCAAACUAUUCCUUUCAUCAUUUAUUACUUUUAAACAUUAUAAUUCACCUCAAUUGGCAUCUUAUAAGCUUUAUUAGUCACCAUAUCAAAGUACGAGGUAUUACAAUAUCUUUGGGUCAAAGCCAUUAAUACUUCAUGCUACAUUAUAAAUAGGGUAACGGUUAGAUCAAUGCUAAAGAAGACACAGUAUAAGCUUUACAAAGGCAAGAAACCUAAUAUUGCUUAUGUUUUAAAUAGUGGUAAAGACAAUUUAGGAAAAUUUGAUGUUAAAAGUGAUGAAGGAAUUUUUCUAGUAUAUUCUUUAAACUCUAAAAGCUUAUAAAGUAUUUAAUAAGAGAACACUAGUGGUUAAAGAGUCAAUACAUGUGUUUUUGGAUGAUUCUAACCCUCUUCCUAGAAAGAAAGAUUAUGAUGAUGAUGUAAAAUAUCCUUUAAAGCAAAUUGAUGAUAUUGAUCUCAACAAAGAAAGUGAAAUGGUACCACAAGAAGAAGAGCAACUACCCCAUGGUGAAAAAGGAAAUUGAUGAAAGUAAAAUCAUUUGUGAUCCCACUCAAGGGCUAAGGAUAAGUGCAAGAGCCAAACAUGUUUGCGAGUUUGUUGCCCUCAUUUCUCAAAUAGAGCCUCAGAAUAUUGAUGAUGUUUUGAAUGAUGAACAUUGGAUUUUAGCAAUGCAAGAGGAACAAAAUCAAUUUGAGAGAAGUAAGGUAUAGGAAUUAGUACCCAAACCACAUGAUUAUCCCAUUGUAGGAACUAAAUGGGUGUUUAGAAAUAAGAUGGAUGAACAUGGAAAUGUAACUAGAUAUAAAGCUAAAUUAGUGGAUAAGAGAUAUAGUCAAGAGGAAGUUAUAGACUAUGAUGAAACAUAUGCACCCAUACCUAGGUUAGAGGCCAUUAGGAUGUUGUUAGCAUUUGCAUGUUACAUGAACUUCAAAUUAUUUCAAAUGGAUAUCAAAAGUACUUUCUUAAAUAGGAAAAUUAAUGAAGAAGUGUAUGUAAAGCAACCACUUGGAUUUGAAAGUCCAACUUUUCCAAACAAUGUAUUUAAAUUUAAAAAUGCCUUGCACGAUCUAAAACAAACACUUAGGGCAGGGUAUGAGACAUUUUCAAAUUUUCUAAUAAACAAAGACUUUCAUAGAAGUAAAGUUGAUAAGACACUUUUCAUUAAAAGAAAAGGCAUAAAUAUCUUAAUAGUACAAAUAUAUGUUGAUAAUAUAAUUUUUGGUGCUACUAAUGAAUCUCUUUGUCAAGAAUUUGCAAGAGUAACGUAGGGAGAAUUUGAAAUAAGUAUGAUGGGUGAGCUAAAUUACUUCUUAGGAUUGCAAAUGAAACAAAAAGAAGAUGCUACAUUUAUCAACCAAGCCAAUCACACUAAUGACAUGCUCAAGAAGUUUGAAAUGGUGGAAACUAGAUGCUACUCAACUUUAAUGGCCACAUCUACCAAGCUAGACAUUGAUGAGCCAGGUACACCUAUUAACCCUAAACUAUAUAGAUCAAUGAUAGGUUUGCUUUAUCUUAUCGUUAGUAGACCCAACAUAAGCUUUAGUGUAAGGUUGUGUGCUAGGUUUCAAUCAUCACUUAAGGAGUCUCACUUAAGUGAUGUGAAGAGAAUAUUUAGAUACCUUCAUAACACUCAUAACUUAGGUUUAUGAUACCUAAAGAACUCAUCCUUUAACUUACACUCUUACUCAGAUGCUGAUUUUGGAGGAUGUAAAAUAGAUAGAAGAGCACAUCUAGCACUUGUCAAUUCUUAGGAAAAAUGAUAAUAUCAUGGUUUUCCAAGAAGCAAAACAAUGUAGCCCAAUCCACAAUUGAAGCCAAAUAUGUAGUAGUCGAUAGUUGUUGUGCUCAAAUUCUUUGGAUGAAACAACAAUUAGAGGACUAUUGUCACGACCCAAUUUCCCAGGCCAUGACCGACGCAUGAGCUCAAUGAGCAUAGCUCACUAAGCCUAAGCAAGCCUAUCCAUUUACCUUUGAUUAACAAAUUUAUCAUAUCAUGCAUACACACACACCUUUUUUUCGGGUGUGAACAUAGCCAAAACACAAUGGCAUUAUCGAUAAUAAUAUACAUGCACUAUACCAGUCAUGUAUUUAGCAAUUUACAUUGCAUACACAUAUUCACAUUGUUAGAUUGUAUUCACAAUACAAAAUGACCCAUGACUUCCAGCGAAGACAUUUAUAAUAAAAGGAAUUACUAUCGAAUGCCAAACAUAUACCCAGGAGAUGCACUACGGGGACUCCUCGAUCUAGGGUCCAACAGUCACCUGAUCUGAAAAUAUGAAUUUUUAUAAAACGUGAGUAUAAUACUCAGUGAGUGAAUAUUAGAAGGGAACAAUCAAUCUCAACUAGGAAAUUUGACAAUCCUGAUGCAUCGGUUGAAAAUAAGGCCAUUUUCAUCUAACUACUAUUCCAAACCCUUUUUCCCUUAAAACAAGCCAUCCUGCUAAAAUAACAAUAGCAACAUAUAACACAUGUAAACUUCCAAAUUUCAACAAAACAAAUGCUUACAUAUUUGCAUUUACAACCAUAUACCCAUCAUCAACAUGCACACCAUCCCAUCAUCAUCAUCAUGCACAUCAUCCCAUCAUCAUCAUCUCAUAUGCAACGGCUUAUGCUAUUGUCACUAGGGGGUGGGAGAUCACGAAGCAUCCCCCCCUUCACUCGGCAAGAGGUGCACUUCACUCCGGAUCACGAAGCAACGGAGNNNNNNNNNNNNNNNNNNNNNNNNNNNNNNNNNNNNNNNNNNNNNNNNNNNNNNNNNNNNNNNNNNNNNNNNNNNNNNNNNNNNNNNNNNNNNNNNNNNNNNNNNNNNNNNNNNNNNNNNNNNNNNNNNNNNNNNNNNNNNNNNNNNNNNNNNNNNNNNNNNNNNNNNNNNNNNNNNNNNNNNNNNNNNNNNNNNNNNNNNNNNNNNNNNNNNNNNNNNNNNNNNNNNNNNNNNNNNNNNNNNNNNNNNNNNNNNNNNNNNNNNNNNNNNNNNNNNNNNNNNNNNNNNNNNNNNNNNNNNNNNNNNNNNNNNNNNNNNNNNNNNNNNNNNNNNNNNNNNNNNNNNNNNNNNNNNNNNNNNNNNNNNNNNNNNNNNNNNNNNNNNNNNNNNNNNNNNNNNNNNNNNNNNNNNNNNNNNNNNNNNNNNNNNNNNNNNNNNNNNNNNNNNNNNNNNNNNNNNNNNNNNNNNNNNNNNNNNNNNNNNNNNNNNNNNNNNNNNNNNNNNNNNNNNNNNNNNNNNNNNNNNNNNNNNNNNNNNNNNNNNNNNNNNNNNNNNNNNNNNNNNNNNNNNNNNNNNNNNNNNNNNNNNNNNNNNNNNNNNNNNNNNNNNNNNNNNNNNNNNNNNNNNNNNNNNNNNNNNNNNNNNNNNNNNNNNNNNNNNNNNNNNNNNNNNNNNNNNNNNNNNNNNNNNNNNNNNNNNNNNNNNNNNNNNNNNNNNNNNNNNNNNNNNNNNNNNNNNNNNNNNNNNNNNNNNNNNNNNNNNNNNNNNNNNNNNNNNNNNNNNNNNNNNNNNNNNNNNNNNNNNNNNNNNNNNNNNNNNNNNNNNNNNNNNNNNNNNNNNNNNNNNNNNNNNNNNNNNNNNNNNNNNNNNNNNNNNNNNNNNNNNNNNNNNNNNNNNNNNNNNNNNNNNNNNNNNNNNNNNNNNNNNNNNNNNNNNNNNNNNNNNNNNNNNNNNNNNNNNNNNNNNNNNNNNNNNNNNNNNNNNNNNNNNNNNNNNNNNNNNNNNNNNNNNNNNNNNNNNNNNNNNNNNNNNNNNNNNNNNNNNNNNNNNNNNNNNNNNNNNNNNNNNNNNNNNNNNNNNNNNNNNNNNNNNNNNNNNNNNNNNNNNNNNNNNNNNNNNNNNNNNNNNNNNNNNNNNNNNNNNNNNNNNNNNNNNNNNNNNNNNNNNNNNNNNNNNNNNNNNNNNNNNNNNNNNNNNNNNNNNNNNNNNNNNNNNNNNNNNNNNNNNNNNNNNNNNNNNNNNNNNNNNNNNNNNNNNNNNNNNNNNNNNNNNNNNNNNNNNNNNNNNNNNNNNNNNNNNNNNNNNNNNNNNNNNNNNNNNNNNNNNNNNNNNNNNNNNUUUCAACCUCAAAUAACACUAAUAUUGAUCAAUAUUAACCAAAUGGAGCACAAAAAUCAUUUUAUAAAAAUUCUCGUAUAGUCCUCUAGUGGCAAAAUUACCAUUUUGCCCUUGUACUCCAAAAAUACCGAGAAUCAAAAUUUUUCACUGCUAAACAUCAUUUUAUACUCCAAUAAUCAUAAUUAUAUUUCAUAUAAUUAUUCUUGGUCAAAUGUGAUCAAAUCUUAGCUAUAAAUCUCCAUUUUAUCAUCACAUGGUAAAUUAACCGUUUUGCCCCUAAUCGGUCAAUUUUCCUGAUGGACUCCAAACUGGACCUUGAACUCUGAAUCACUACUCUAAGCCAUUCUGUGGGUUUCAAAAUUUUCAAAUUCCUCUUAAAAUUUCUAUUUGAACUAGUUCAAGGCUCGAUUUAACUUAGUUGUACCACUCGGUACAAUACCGUCUUUUAAUCGAGCUUGACAGGGUCUCACAACUAUGGGUUAUCAAUGGAAAAGAUUCCCAUUAAAUGUGACAUUACUAGUGCUAGCAGUCUCAUCAAAAAUCCAUUCAUCAUUCUAAACAAAGCACACUGAAAUAAGACAUCACUUCAUUAGAGAUCAUGUACAAAAAAAGAUGUAGUCUUAAAAUAUGUAAGCACUCAAGAUCAACUAGCUAAUAUUUUUACUAAGCACUUAAAUAUAAAUGCCUUUUUUCAAGAUUAGAGGAGCAUUAGGUAUUAUGAAUAUGCCAUGACUAGUUGAUAAAUCUAUGUUAAUGUACAUAGGUAGUAGUAUUUUGUUUUAUUGAAUCUCUUAUUGUUGAUUGACUAUUCUUGUUCAUAUUGUGUAUAUAACUAUGAUUGGUUUUUUUUUACUCAUGCCUAUAUUUAUGUGUAUACUUAUGUGUGACAUCUUUGACUUGCUUUUGAUAUGUUGACAUAUUCCAUAAUGUCUUGAUUGAAUGUCUUACAUGGAAAUAUAUCUUGUUUGAAAAUAUCUAUAUGUGCUUUAAUUACAAUGGUUGAAUAUAUUUCUUCAUACUUUAAAUUAAAUAUCUUGACAAGAAAUAUGUUAUGAUCUUUGGAUGUGCUACAUGAGUAUACUUCCUUCCUGCUUUACUUGAAUAUCUAUUGAUUGGGAAUACAUCUUGAUUUAAUGCUAUCAUAUCAUGAUGAUUGGAUAUAUUUCUUGAUCUAUUAUUUGAAUAUUUGAUCUCAACAUGUCGACAAAUCGGUCACACACGCAACACAUGUCCCAUAUGAAGGACAAUGUCUGAGAAUGUUAGGUGUCUUGUAGACGAAGACAGUGGCUCCACCUAACUAAAUGUCUGAGCCAUCUUCAUUACAUUUCUUAGUUCUAGAGCAGCUUUGUCUAGAACAAGUGAAAAUGUGUAAUCAGAAAGGAAUCAUAUGCCAUGUAGUUUGUUACAUGCAUAUUUUCUGUUUGUUAUGUAGUAAUUGGCUGACAUGAUUUGCCAUAUGCUUGUUAAUCUAGUUUCUCAUUGCAACUAAAUCCCUUUGCUUACAAGGAAUAUUAAAGCAAGGGCAAUAGGAGAGACAGAGUUAGAUAUUUAUUCUCAAUGAUGUUAACCCAAGCUAGCUUCAAAACUUUUAAACAAUUGUUACAAGCCAUGCCUAUGUAGGCAAUAUUUUAUGUUUACAUGCCAUGCCUAAAAACUCAAGUCAAUCUAAUUCGUUGAUACAAGCCAUGCCAACAGAUAGAGUUAGGACACGUUAGGCGUAAAUAGAAACUGUUAUAACUUGCCAUGAUAUAAUGGUCGUGUUUCAAGAUUGAAGCAUUGGUUAUUUAUUCUUCCCUUUUGAUUCAUGAAACUAAGAAAAGGUUCCACAAAAAUUUUGAUACCAACUAUCAAGUGACAAUAUGUUGGUAGGUAAACUAAAGAUUGAAGAUCAACAAAAUUCAUGAAGAGUGAGCAAAGAAUGAAAUCAGGUGAGUUCCAAACCUAUGAAUUGUCAUAUUUGAAGGCUUAUUCCUCUUUUGCUUUAAAAUGAUUUAUUUCGUUUGGCUUUUCAAAUUAGUUGGUUUUUUAUUGACCACGUUUGACUAUUUAUUUUAUGAUUUGACUUUAGGAACUUAUAAUUGCGAUAAAUGUUAUGCCACUUGUUUGUUAUUCAUAGAAAAGAUGCCUGUUUCUGUUAUUGAUUGCUUACACAAGUGCACGUAUCGUUAACAAGUAAUAUAGUAAUGAAUAGAGUAUUGUUCCCACGGAGAAUUGUUUAAUUCCUACUGUUAACUACUAAAAUUAUAACACCCUAAUUUUAUCCAAACAAUUAAAAUAAAAAAGAAAAAUUGAAACUAAUAAACUAAAACUAAAAUUAAACAGUAAAUAAAACUCAACUAACUACCAGACCUAAGAUUAUAAUAUCCCUCAAUACUUCAUCUGAUUAUUGUCUUUCUCUCUUAACUCAAUUUAAUGGAAUAAGUUGCUAACCUAAAGUCCUAAAUUAUUAACAAGUCUCUGUCGAGUUUCUCAUAAAAAUACCUCUCCUAAUUAAUUUACUAUAUGCUUAUGCAAGUUAAAUUGAAGAAAGAUUUAUUAAGUUUGUGCUCUAAUCUUAACUACGUAUGGCUUAUAGGUCUAUGUCUACCUUAUAUGCAAAUUAAACCACCUAAUCAUUUAAGUGUAUUCGAUCAUACGCUAUUCUAUUCAAGGUUUACCUAAAUCUCCUUCGUCAAGGUUUAACCUAGGUUUCCAAUUCAAUCUAAUUGGUGAUCAGGUAACAAGAAGCAUUAAGAACAGAAGAGAAUAAACAACCUAAAUCAAUCAGACAUAAUCAAAAGAGAGAUAGAUAAUUCAGACUACAUAAUGAGUUCAAUCAUAAUCUUAGAUUAACAAUUUAGUUUCCCAUCAAGUCACGCAUCAUCAUUGAAUAAAGUUUAAACAAUAAAAACAAACUAAGAAAACAAAAGAAUAAUAAAAAAAAUAAACUCAAGAAUUAUAAUCUUGAUCUUUCAAGUCUUCUUGAAUCCUUCAAAAUCUUCUCAGCUUCAAUGACUUUGCGACUUGACUCUCAACUUCCAAUCUGGUGUUU
rnacentral:lncRNA from 1 species